rnacentral:lncRNA from 1 species
GAAGCUAUCAGUGUGAUUGAUCCGACAAGUACUUUUAGUGGACGCUAUCAAAGAUGAACGGAAAGGUUCGAGCAAUAUUCUUUGCGCCUGAGGCGCAUCAAAAAGAAGGUUGAAGAUGACCUUGAUUUUUCUUUCAUUUCCGAAUUCGCUUGCGACAAGUCCUAGCAUUAGUAUGAGUUCGUUGACCGCGUAAGGGCAAUCCAUCUUGAUGACGAAUUCCACGAUAACAAGAAAGAGAAAUUAAUCGUUCGAUGUCUGCUCGUUCUCCCCUCUUCAAUUCCCAAUUCACAAUAUGAUCUUUUCCUAUCACUUGUUCAAUUUUUUCGAUCUGAUACUUAGUUAACUCUUUGAUCUUUAUGUUCCCACUGAUACCUAAUCGAUAACGAACCUGAAUGGCUUUUUUAGGUCCAAUUCCAUCAAUUUGAGUUGAGGCAAUUCUGACUUGUUUAUCGGCAACGGAUCUUGCUCCUGAAAUAUAUGACAUUCUUGAUCCUUCCUUUUACUAGUCUUUCUUCUCGGGCUGGAAUCAUAAAUGAGUUCUCUCCUCUUGAAUGAUCUUUUCUAUAGGUCGAACUACUGUGAGCGGUCUAAACUUCGACCCGGAUUGAUGAAGAUUAUGUUCUCGUACCCAAGCCCUGAAAAAAGAGAAAGAGUCUUGUGGAGGAGAAUUUCACACUGAUCUGACUAAAGAAGUGAGAAAGUGCUCCGCGAUGGGUCGCCUCGCGGUCUCAAAAUGGAAGUUUUUCGCCUUUAGGUCUUUUAGGGCCGCAAAAGAAAAGAAGAAACCCCGACGAAAGAUCGAAGUGGUCUCGUGCGCCAAAAGAAGGCUAUAAUGGAAGGCAUAAAAAAAAAUCUGACUUGGUCUGAGCUGCCUGCGGUUACAGAAUCGCCCGCGUCAAUAUUCUUUGAACCUUGACUCUCUCUCUAGAAAAAAAAAAAGCUUUCUCUGGUAAGCCAUUCAGACUCCCAGAAAGAGAAAGCCUAUGGCCCAGGUUUUGAUUAAAGAACCUUCGACUUGCUUGCAUGUCUUAAGCAUAUAGCUAGCCUUCCUUCUGAGCCAGGAUCUUUCUAUUUGAGUAUGAUUGGGCCUGCUAGACUGCCACGGAGCGGUUGCCGGGCGUACUACUUCACUGAAGAUUGAUUCUCUCUCCUGAACUAUGUAGUACGUUAUAUAUUCUUUAAGGCAAAGAAUGUGAUAAUGAAAGAAACUACAUAAAAAACCGAGAUUCGUCGACAUUUGCGUCUCAGCUUACUCCUGUCUCAGACCACGACUCUGUCCUUGAGCUUGUGGGUCCUAUAAAAGACAAUCUCCCGAUGCUCGACAGAGAGGUAUGUACCCUGGAUAGAUCGUCUCGGGUUGACUUUCAAACCAAGCAGGAAAAAGCCUCAUAGUUUACAAGGUUAGACACAGACAGCAAGCCAAGGCACCUCGCUCGAUCCCACGGAGCGGGAUCAGGUUAGUAUGGAUAGUCCUUCGCAAAUUCUUUGCGCGGGUAAGAUCAAGAUCCUUUUUUCAGAGAAAAAGAAAGGAGCAAAGAAUUAUCGAAGCGAAGGCUAGGUUAAUAUGGAUAGUCCUUCGCAAAUUCUUUGCGCGGGUCCAGAUGCGUCACAGUCCGAAGGCGCAAUUCAAUAUGCGUUGAGAGGCGCAAUUCAAUAUGCGUGAAGAGAGGCUCAAUGUAAUAUGAGUUGCGGAUUUGAGAGAAAGAUUAGACUGACUCCCUACUCAAUCCUUUCUAGCUUAGGCUGCCACUGACUCCGCGAGCGAUGAAAGAAUGAGUGGAUUCAUCCACAAGGUGCUUUAGGUGGAUCUGAUCCAUAGUUCGGAUUCGGAAAGGCUAUCUUGAACCGCUGAGGUUCCCGGCUUGUGCCCCUAGCUAGUAGGUAGGUUCAAGCACUUUUGGCAUCAGAUCUCUUUUCAUUGACUUUUGGGGGCUUUGAAAACGAGUGAAAGCGGGUGGGAUGGAGCUCUUUGUAUUUGAGAUAGUUUCAUCCUCGUCUGCUGUCUCUGCUCUCUGAAUUUCUGAUUCCGCGGCACCAGUCAACACAGUCCUAUUUUUAGGGGAAGAGUUGCAGAAGGAAAGGGGCAGCUAAUUUCAUUGAUUCUCUCUCUUAUUAGACAAGGCAAUUUCUUGAACUUCAGACAGCUAGAGAGAAAGCCGAUCCACUAUCGGGUGACGGAGCCAUUGGGCCAAUCGAUAGGGGAAAAGGAGCUCAGCACCAUGGGGCAAGUCCUAUCCUAUUCCCUUUGUUCCACUCCUCUCCGUCUCCAAAUUUGCACUCCUUUACAGUGGUGGAAUUCUGAAAGAAAUGCAACGAGGAAUUUCCUGUGAACGCAUUCCCUCUCGUUUUCCUUGUUCCCUAUUGGCGUAGAAGGAUGCCAUUAUUCAAUGACCUCAUUAGGUCAAAUGCGCACCCUUGUUCAUUGAGGCGGUUUUGGGUAUAGGUGAGAUCUCUCAACGGGGAUGUAUUUUCUAUCAAUAUCUUAGAAUAUAGAAAGUUGCGAUUUACCGGCAUUCUUCAAAACUCAAAGAAAGAGAAGGUGGCGAAGCCGAACUUAUGAAAAGUAUGAAAGAUCAGAUAAGAAAUAAAGCACUGACAUUAAGUAAGAUCAACCACUAUUUAUCGCACUGAAAGGGAUUGAAUAUCAGAUGACUGAAUUAUUACUUUCAUCUUUCUAAUAUCUUUUUCUUACUUGAGCUGUUUCGCGCCUCCGGCUUCUUAUUGCAUUAUCAGGAGUCUGAUCUUCGGUUUCCUUAGACUGACGGUUCUUUCGCAUUCCUCUUAUUUGCCCUAGGGGGCUUCUAGAAGGAUUCUUCCGACAGGCUUUGCCGUAGGUAGGCUUUGACUCUUCCUUAUCCUUAAUGGGCGUAGGCUUUUUGCCUUGGCCGACGGAUCGAGCUUUCCGAUCUGGAAUAAGCGACUUUUCCUGCAACUUCAACCUCGGAAAAGAAAGCGGACGGUGGUCGAUCCCAUGAUAAGAAGACAAGCUAGAAAAACUUCCACAAGAAAAGCGACUGAAGAAAGAAGAUUUUGCCCAUUAUCGAUAGUCGGACCUCUUUUAUCCAUUUCAUUGUUGCGGGACCUCUCUAUUCCAUUUCAUUUGUUGCGGUAGGCUUUCUUUCCAAACCUACUAAAUAAAGCCUAUCCUUUUCUUUCUUAAGUUUCCUUUAAGCCCUUUACAAGGUAAGGACUGAAAACUCAAAGAAAGAAGGUUCUUCUCCAAGGCAUGAGUCAAAGAAAAUGCUUUCUCUAUGUAUCUAAUGCAAGACCCGUCGAUAAGCUAAGGCUAGGAGACCAUGAGGACAAGUCCAUUCUCUUUUUCUUUCGCCUUCGCCCUCCCGUGCACCCGCCGGGGCCGAUCCCUAUACUAAGAUAGUCGGGCCAGAGGUCGCGCAGCAGCUUCCCGUGGAGCCUCCUGCGGAUCAUCAGCCCGGUUGGGCUCAACCUCAGAGAAAGGUUGAGUGAAGAGGAAUCCAUAUAAUAAGGCCUUUCGCCGGCUAAUCUCUUCCAAGGAGUAUCGGGGGGUGGAAGGGCAAAUUCACCUUUUUGAGGCUCGGGCCGAAGAGCUAAAGCAAAAGGCCGACGAGCUCCUUCAUCCUCCUUCCAUUCCAGUGGAUGAAGAGUCAGAUGUGGGGCUGGCAAUCAAUCUUCUCUUGGAGAAGAAGAGAGGCGACCGCCCCGUGGGAUUCCUCUCCAGGGCGAUUCAGGCGAUUGAGAAUGGCAAAAGCCGCUUCGCUCCUUCCCUCCAAAUCCUCGAUACGCUCUCUGGCAGCGCGAAUGCGCCCUUCUUUCCUGGCAGGAUCCAGUCUUCUAAGACUCCUCAAAAAGAGGUUUAGCACUCUACGGCCUCAUCUCAUUUUUCAGUUGCCCCAUUUCUCUUUCGGCAGCAAUUGCAGAAAGCCUCUUUGCAGCCUGCUAGUACUCAAUUUCUUUGAUUUUCAUUUGAUGAGUAGCCUCCAUCUUCUUGAUGUUGAGAUCCGUGAAUAGUACUUCUUCUUUCAUCAGACUGGGACUACUUCCCCUUCCUCUUUCAGUUAUCUUUCUACCAGAGUUGUAGAGGAAUCUCUCCAUGAAGUAGGAAUUGGAUGGCUGGCACAAUUCUGACUAGUUCGUAGCACUACUUUUCUGCAGUGAAAAUACUCUUCUGCCUAUUUAGUGAAAAAACUGGCAGGCUCUGGCUACCUUGCGGAGCAAAGAAAACCCAAAUCACACUGCCUCUAUGAAGAAAGAAAGUAGACCCCUCCUCUAUUACGAAAAUAUGAUUCAUAGUCCUUCGCUAUUUUAGUUCCAUUAAGAAAAAUCAGUCAGAAGGCGCAAAGAAUAUUGCCUUUAUUUAGGAUCAAUGAAAUUUGAUGAGAGGAGGGCUCAGGUUAAUAUGGAUAGUCCGGAGGACCUCCUUCAGCAUAAUGUCGUUGGGGAAGUUCUUUCCGUCCUCUCUCUUCUUUCAUUUUCAUAUAUAUAUGAAAUCAAGCAGGAACAUGAUAAGUGGAAUUAAGAGGUCCGACUAUCCACUAGCGCUCCAAACUGUCUAAUGAAAGAGUGAACUCGACAAAGUAACCUCGACAGGACUAGGCGACCCCUUAGCCCUUUCCCUGGAUCGGCUGAUAAGUCAUCUCAUCCAAAAAGACUGGGUUUCCAUCACCCUACGCUAGUCAAUAUUCUUUGAACCUCUUUGGAGUUGUCUUUCUUCUUUCUCUUAGCAUUCCUUGCCAAAAACAAAGGCUCUAGCUGACGUAGGAGGAGGAGUUUCCAACCUUGCCGUAGGUUUCUCUUAGCAUUCCUUUUAGUAGGUUGUAAUAGUCAAGUAAAUCAUCAAAACCUUCGCACCUCUCUUUCUAAAAGAUAAAAAAGGUCUGAGCCCCUUUCGUCUUUUCCUCUCUUCUUUCCCCAUUUACAGGGGAUUGACUAACCCCACGGAUAUCUUGUCUUAGCUCAGCCUCUUAUAGCGAGCAAGCAAAGCCUACUUCUACUUUCUUGGUGGGCCCGCUAUUUGAUCAGCGGAUCAUAAAUGAGCCCAGCUUCGCUAAACUCGCACGCACCGACUGGCGGUCUUCACGAAAGAUUGUUGGCAUGCCUCCCAUAAGCAUAAGAAGAAAGAAGGCUGAUAAGGAAACCUAUGAGACCGCCUUGUUCUGCCCAUAGCGGUGAAGCAGAAACUAAAGGCCCUAUACAGAUCAUGAUAAUCUAUAGUAGAAUCAUACUCUCAAUGUGCUAUGCCAUAGAAGUGUGGGAAACUACUUCCUUAUCUACCCUAGACUAGCUUAUGCUAUCGGAUAGGUCUUAUUAGGACGACUUUCCCAUUCUUUCCUGCCUUAAGGUGAAAUAAGGUCUCUCUUGGGUAUUCAAGGUCUAAUGUGCUCCCCGACUAGGCUCUGCUUUUGAGGGUGGGCUUGUAGUCUCUCUUACUCCUAUAGGUCAGAAAGAGAUAUAUUCAAUUUUUCGUAUAUGACUGACGAUUUACCAUCAACCUGCUUAUAUAUUAAUAUUAAGUGAGCAAAUUCUUCUCAUAUUACAUUGAUCCUCCCCCUAAGUAAAUUCUUCUUCUGUAAUAUAUUCUCCUCUGAUAUAGAAUAUCUAUCUUUCCUUUCAUAAAUAGGAAGGAAAGGAUUUCUCCUCAAAUCAAGUCAGUCUUCCGAAAGAAGGGAUCAAGAAGUGGUGGUUCAGUCACUUCGGUAGGGGAUUCGCGAUCCCAUCUCUAUGGUCUUGCUCUUGAUGGUACCUCAUCAUGGGGGUGCUGCCCAAGCGGAGCUAACUACAGGUCCGAAUAUACUGCGAUCACCCAGACCUUUCUAAUACUGAAAUCCUGUAUACGAAAUUUCUUCAGUUGUCGACGCCGCAAUAUGCGCCUUCUAAUGGAUAGUCCUACUUCGGUUAAUUACGGAUAGUCCUACUUCGGUUAAUUACGGAUGGUCCUACUUCCAUAUGGAUAGUCCUACGGAUAAGAAUCCUGCGGACUCCGGACUACUUCCCUCCAUAUGGAUGGUCCUACUUCGGUUAAUUACGGAUGGUCCUACGGAUAAAUCCUCCGGACUACUUCCAUAUGGAUAGUCCUCCGGAUAAAUCCUGCGGACUCCGGACUCCGGACUACGGAUAAAUCCUGCGGACUGCGGACUCCGGACUGCGGACUGCGGACGUAGGACUCCGGACCUAGACACAAAGAAAGAAAGUGAAUAUGGAAAAAAGAAAGAAUGUCAUCGUAAUUCAACUCCGUUAGGAGUUAUUCCACUAAAAAAAAGAGUCAUGAUAGGUAGUCCGUCCGAAGGACUAUUCAAUCCAUUAGUUUUCGCUUGCACUCCUUUCUUCUUUUCCGCAAUAUUCUUUGCUCCUAACGUCUGAAACUGCUUUAUAAAGGAAUUUGGAAAAGCUCGUUUUGGAAUAACUCCUACCUAUUCCUUGCUCCUCCUCCGGGAUCAGGACGGAUAUUAUUGGUAAGACUCCUUCUACGCGGUCUCGCAACUCAUAUUGCAUUGAGCCUCACUACUAAUGGAUAAAGAAGUCCUUCGGACUCCGGACGGGGGGGAUUUCCGCUUGAUUUUACCGUAGCCAUGAAAGCAAAGGUGGGGUUUGACUCUCUCUCAAGCCCUAUUUCUGGAUGGAAGUUGGAACCUCCCCACUUUCUUAGUUCAAAUGCACAAUUUCCCUAUCUCUUCUUAUGGCUCUUUUGGGCCUAGGCGAGAUAGAGUUGUAGAUAGGUUUGAAUUGCUCUAUUGCGAGAAAGAGAAAAGGAGUGAGAGGGGUGUCGCAAGCUCCCUGAUUGAGUAGGCAGAAAGGGGUCAGAGCUAGCUGCUGGGCCAGAUUGACCUUCAGUAGCUGCUAACAAAGGACCGGAUUGACCGCCUCAAUGAAGAAGGCGCAAAGAAUAUUGCGGUGAGUAGGGUAUUCAAUAUGCGAGACCGGAGAAAGAGGUUAUGAAAUAUACUACCCGAAAGCUAUAACUUGAAGAGAGAAAGAGUUGACUCGUCCGAAGGCUCAAAGAAUUUGACCUAUGAUCAAGCGAAGAACUGAUAACCUGCCGAAACUAAGAAGUUGAGCGGCUUUCCAGUCGAGCUAAAUCUCUUCUUUCUUCUCGUUCAAAAGAAACCUACUAAAAAAGAAAUACGAAAGCCUACCUGCCAAAUUCUGAAAAAUAGUCCAUUUCUCACAUUCAUUCACAUUCAGUCAAAAGAAGAGACUUGGUCCGGCAAGAGGGAUCUCCGGCUUAGGCUCGAGGCUCCUCUUCUUCUUCCUGUGGAUUAGUGGAAGGAUGUCUCAUCCGCUUGAGAGGGUAUGCAUUCCUUACGCGCGAAUUGGAUGAUUUCUCUUUAUCGAUUGAUUCUGAUUCUUUCUACCCAGCCGGCGGGAGUCAUCAUUUUUGCGUACUCCGGAAGACCUAGGUUUUUAAUGAUUUACUUGAGUCAAAGACGUGCAGAUGAGGCAUCCGAGACAGAAAGAAGAAGAAGGACUGAAACCGCCACUGGGUCGAGCAUUCGGUCUGAAAGAUCUUCUUUAUCUCGAUCACAGUCAACUUUUGAAUAGUUGAGUAAAUCAUCAAAAUGGGGUUCGAUCCUUUUGACUUCGUCAUAGAGCUCUGCCCUUUUGAUCUUUUAGAAAGAGUAUUCCAAGUAAGACCAAAAUGCAAUGAAUUUAAGCGGAGGCCUUGUUCAAAGAAUAUUGAAAGGGAUAUUGUGCGAGACUGAAAGGAGAGGUGCAAAGAAUAUUGCGAGGUCAUCUGAAACCCUUUUUUUUGAUGCGCCUCAGGCGCAAAGAAUAUUGCGAGAUUCAUACUAUUAAAUAAAUAGGUUGAGGCGCUUCGGUUAAUUACAGAUAGUCCUACUUCUGUUAAUUACGGAUAGUCCUCCGGAUAAAUCCUGCGGACGUAGGACCCUGGACCUUUCUUUCUUUAAUGGAUAGUCCUACGGACUCCGGCGCAAUGAAAUAUGCGAGGUCCAUAUUAACCGAAGAUUUAGCCUUCCUUCGGAACCUGCUCAAGAAAUAAGGGAAGGAAGCAAGGAGUCAAGUUAAGAAUCUCUUCUCUUUCAUAUUCACUCGAACUCCUAAGGCACCUUUCCUAAGCCAACUACCCUUUUUCUACUUUUUCCGACACUGAAUUCUUCUUAGCCUGAACCUAGGCCUUUCCUUUUGGGGAAUCGAGCAAUCUUCUGAUCUCUUCUCUUUGUUUCGGGAUCGGGUACAGGCCAUGAGCAGUCCCAAUCUGCCUUCCUCUCGUAGGACCAUAAGAAAAGCCCACUCCGCGGUAAGGCUUGAGGUCUAACCCACGGAUGAAAUAUUCUUUGAACCUAUCUCCCCGGCUGUAGAUUGAGGUUAUCACCUUAUUGAGUGGAUGGAGAUCGGCGGCUAAUAUGAGUUCAUUCUAUUUAGAAUAGGAUAGAAUAUGCUGAAAGAACCGCUACGUGGGCGACUUUCUCAACAGCAAAAUGCCACUUCCUCUGCCCGUAGGUUGUUGAGCCUUUCUUCUUGCACCUUGAAUAAAGAGCUUUUUUCGGGAGAAAUCCCAGUUGAGGGGAACAUAGGCUCCGAUCAGGCUCAAGAGAAGGAAGGGCACCUCCCCCUGGCUAACUUACCCUCUACAAUCAGGAAAGACUCCACUCCUUCCCUUCGUCUUCUCAGUCAAGCAGUUCCACUCCUAAUAGGUCAAGCUGCUUCCAACUUCUUCUUCAACGGGAAACUUCAAGGCAACUGAGACGGAUUCUACAGGGGUGGGGUUCCUCUUUAGUAGAAAAAAGCCCUUUCCGGGAUCCCGCCUCAAGAGAGAAUUCCAAGUCUUACCUAUUUUCCCCUAAAGACUCACAGGUUUGGACUCGUCCAAACAAUGGCCUGGCCGAGAAAGCAAUGUCCGCGACUGAUAUCUUCUUAUCUUAUCAACCUAUUCGCCGACAAAGCCACUGAAAAUUCUUCAUUCUUGACUGACUAUAGGCUAAGUAGCGAAUGCUGUAAUCAAGGGCCUGCUUUAAUGGUUGCUUCAUUGGUUCAGGGGAAUUGGCUUGAAUCUGAAGCCGGACAUAGCGAUUGGCGAACCACAACUCGUGCUUAAAGCUUUGAAUUUGAGUGGGAAAGAGGGGGUUCAUGCUGUGAUAGCCAAGCGGGGAGAGAUGGAAAGAGGACUAAUGCCUUGGCUUAAUUUAGCUUCUUGGUUUUCCGGUCAUUUUCUGAACAUAAAGAGAUUUUUCUUAUUGUAUAUUGUCUUUUUACCUUUGACCGAUCUCCAUUGCUUACAGGAAAGGGAGGAAGAGAGAGAGGAGCUGGUACCAAAUCAAUAGGUCAUUCAAUAUACGAGAGUUUAGUGUCAGAAAUCGGCUUGAUUAUUUCUCAAAAUACCGCUACUGUUGAAAAAGAAAGAAUGAAAGAGAAAUGCAUUAUAAAGAACGAAGAUCCCAACUAGCACUCAUGAACUCAUGAACUUCUAUAACUCACGAUAAAAGAUGAGAUCUAAGACUGUAAGUUGAAUGAAUAGGAUCGGUAGCUGACUGUAAGUUGAAUGAAUAGGAUCGGUAGCUAGACGGGUCCCCUGACAAGGAGGGAAGAACUCCCAGAUCGGUAUACGACUUCUCAGGAGAUAAAGGGGGAUCGAAGCUAGCCUCAAAGACCCAGAUCUUUCCGCGCCAGGAUCAGUAGAGGCUGGAAGGGAAGUUUCAGUUGCUCUUUCCCAACCAGAUAGAAAGGCAUAAGGCCUCAGCCCAAGCCGAUUGUAGCAGUUCUUUCAUCUCUUUCGGAAUGAAAAAGAAAUGAAUCUCGGAUGUGUAGUAUAAGAAGCUUGCGAGAGUAGGCUCCAUAAGACAGGGAUAUUGUAAGGUUCCCACUCUUUUUGUUUUCUUGAAUCUCGUUAAUGAACUCACUCUAUUCUAAAUAGAAGAAAGCAUCCCCAUAGAUAGGAUGAAAUCAUCAUAAUCCCCUAAGCCCACUGGGAGGAAGGCGAGUGUCCAGGGAACAAUCUUGCAUAAAGAGGCAUCCGUCUCGGCGGUCCAUAGAAGCAUGAGAAGGAAUUCAUAUCACCUUCUUUGUUGGUGCGCAGCCACUCGACUUAGACGUUAGCGAUUGGAUCCCCCACUCCUAGGUUGCUUUUUGCUUGAUUUAAAGACUCCAAAAUCAGAGCUAUCCCUAAUUAAUGUUCAGCUUAGAGCCUCCGUCCUCCUACGCAGCUUCUCAAAUUCUUUGACCCGACUCCCCAUUCGUUUUUCAACUCUUUUUCUGGAAUGAAUUCCAGUCUUCUUUCAGGGGCGGGAUAUGGAUGGAAGAGAGAGGGAAGAAAGAGUCCGGUUUCAGAGGCUUGAUCCACUUUCUAGGAUCAUGAAGAAAUCCCUAAAUGCUUCUUUAUACUCUCGCCCAGGUAGGGAGAACUCUUAGAUAUAAGACGUUUUAGAGAGUUUUGAUUCAAAUCCAUCUCCACCUAUGUUGUGCCCUUCCUCCCAAAGCAUUCCGGCAUCUCUUAUUCCAGGUCUCACCCUCUUCAGCAAAGGAGUGGAGAAAGACAUGGAAUUGGAAUUGAUAGGGAACCGUAGCCAAGUGGCUAAGGCAUAAGUCUGCAAAACUUCUAUUCGUCGGUUCGAAUCCGACCGGUUCCUACAGCUUAGCCCCAUUCCACCCUGACAUGGUGUCUGUCUCGAACGGGGGCCUCCGCUUGCUCCUUCGUACCUUUGGCUUAGGCCGCUUUCCCUUCCUGACAGUAUUUCUUUUCUGAUUAGCACUCUCCUUUUCAUGAGAAUUUGACUGCUAUCCUUGCUUCAGCCUUCGUCUUUCGGCUUUAGGACUCACGGGUAUCUCUCAAAAAAAAGGUAUUCCGUGAUCUUUCCGUCUUUAGUUUAGGUUCAUUAUGGCAGUUCUUAGUUUCGUCUCUUUAUCAGUGAAUUCGCUUUCUUAAUUGCAUAUAUUCAUAAAAGGGUAGUCCUUCCCCCAGGUGCGCCUAAAGUCUGAUGAUGAUCCCUUUCAAAGCCGGUGAAACCAUCAGGCUCGACUAAGAAAUCAAUGCCUCCGACUCCUUCUAGUAACCAUCCCCGAAAUCCAGGGAGGUCUUCUUUCAGACAUGGCGGGCUCCACUCAAAUUCUUUGAGCCUUCUCUGCUACCAAAUCAUAGAUCUUCCAGAGAAGACCAAAGCGAAUGAGCUCACUCGAUUCGCGUCUGAUCCUCCAUUCUUUCUCAUAGACUGAUGCUGAAAAUCAAAAAAAGAUAGGUUCCUUCAUUAUAAUGCAUUUCUUACCAAUGGACGUACCGAAGCCAUCAUCCAGUUCCUGAGCAAAGACCACUCAAGGAAGUCCUCUCUUGGAAAGCAAAUAAUGAGAGCUACUUGACUUCUUUCAGGAAGGAGAUAAUUCAACCGCUCAGAUAAGGAAGAGCGAAAGCUCACUCUACCAAGCCAGAAUGAUAAUGUCUCGUCAUUGCCGGGGGCUUGGUGUACAUAGCAAGAACCCGCUCAAAGUGAGGAGAUCUUGUAUGACUGAGUUUGGCAAGGACCCUAUAACCCCCACCACCAAGGCAUCCUUAAUCUUGCCUUUUCAUGGAUAUGGAUAUUUUUGACAUAAAAUAAGAAGACCAUAUGGAUGAUGGUAAGCAAGCAAAGAAGGAGCGGACAUGGUAUCAAAAUCCAUGCGUCCACCCGCGCUUAGCAAACUCAAAUCUUUCAGUCGAUUAAAGAACUGAACGAAGGUGCACAUUUUCACUCCUAAUUGAGAAAAGAAACUUCAGCAACUUGGGUAUCAGCGAUGACAACAUCAUCACCGAGCACAUUGAUUGGGACACCACAUCAACUAAAGUGGCUUUUGAACGAGACCUAUCGGCCCACGGAGCGGGGCAGUUGCUACGGCCAUCGAUAGUCGGACACCGCGGAGUGGGCCUCUUUCAUCCUCUUUCAUUCUGCUCUUUCAAAGAGAUAUAAGGGGUAUGAGCUACUCGAUCUCGAGAAAAUGGCUUUGGAUCUCUCUCUACAUCUGGAAUAUCUGUCAGAGGAUAUGGAACUCAAUAUCGAUCUGAAACGUCGAAGCUUACACUGACUCAAAGGGAGACUGCUUCUAGCCAACAUCGGCUAUGGAUCACGCCCAUCAUCAUAAGGGCAUCUCGGUAUGGGGUUGGAUGGAUCAUCGGCCCUGGUGAUGGCUCCCCAGUAAAGGGAAGAGGAAGGGAUGCUAUUGGUGCUAUCGGUACAGCUCUCCUUAUCAUCGGCAGAUAUGCUUUUCUAUUUGCGGGGGUCUUUCUUGCUCUUGGUAUCGGCUUCUUUCUGGAUAUGCUUCUGCUUUUACUGAUGCUUAUGGAUGGAUUACUUGCUGGAUCUCACCCGCUCAAAGAAGAUUGAAUUUCGAAAGCCAAAGCUACUUAUGAGCCCUCCCUUGUCAUUGAAGGCGGAGGCUGAAUUCAUUGAGUUGCGGCUAUUCUAAAAGAAACUUAUCCACAAAAAGGAAAGUGAAAGCCAAAGCAGAUCCACAGCAAGGGUUUCAACUGAAAUUUCUCAUUCAAUCGCCGACCGCUCCGUCUUAUCUGAUUUUCGCCGACAAAAGUCGCAUAUUGAAUUGCGCCUCCGGAAUUCUGAUUAUUAAGGAGAUUCAUUCAUGAAAGGCAUAUUUCAUUGCGUGAGAAGCCGCGCUGCGAGAGCUACUAAAGCGAGAGGUGAGAUGGAAUUGAGUAGACUAAGAAGGGGCGAAGCGAACAGGAGUGCAAGUUGGAAGGAGAGGUUCCAUAAGACAGGGAUAUUGUGGGCGAGACCAAGGAGGGAGAGAGAUGAGGUCUACGGAUUAUCCUACAUAAAUUAGUUCUUGGAAAGACUACGAGGCGCAUCAGCGGAAACUCAGACCUAAAUCACUAACUAAAUAAGGGGUCAUAUCACGAACGGGAAGCGAAGGCAUACACUGACCAUAGCCGGAGAGGAAAGGAGCUCAGCAGCUUGACCCGCCUUUCAGUUUCUUGGGUGUGAAAGGAUAGGUUAUCGGCCUAUUACCUAUAGGAGAAAUGCUGGCAUUGAUAGACUUAGAGGUGAAAUUCUCCGUUUCGGAAAGAGCUAACUCAUCUUCUUCUUUUUAAUAGGCAGAAAGGCGAGAUGGAAAAUUGGCUGAACAUGAUAGAAGCAAGGCGCAAAAACAAGGGUGCAGAUGACUAUCCAUUAGAGAAUUUGACUUUGGAGGAGUAUGAAAUCUGGGUUAAUAUGGAUAGUCCUUCGGACGGGAUAUUCUUGAGAGUCAUGAACUCUAUUAAAAAGGACUGCCGAUUGAAAAGACUAUUAUCAAUCUUCAAAUCUCCGCGGCUGAAUUCAUAUUCCUCGACUUCGUAGAAGGAGAUAGAAAUCAAUGAACGAGUACAAUGAACAAGGGCUCUUCUUCUUAAACUACUUUCAGUCGGAGAGAGAAGAAAUAAGACGUAGUAGGAGUUGAUGAUUGUACCGCGUAGUGGGUCACUUUAUUCAGUAGAAAGAGAAUAGUCAUUUUGAAGGUUUUGACAUAGUGAAAAAUCAGUCAAAAAAGAUCUUUUAUCGUUAGCUAUCGAAAUCUUCUUUGAGCCCGUAGUUAGGAGUAUUAAGACCGGAGGACCAUCAAAGAAAGGUCCAGGGUCCGGAGUCCGCAGGAUUCUUAUCCGGAGUCCGGAGGAUUUAUCCGUAGGACCAUCCGUAAUUAACCGAAGUAGUCCUACGUCCGGAGGAUUCUUAUCCGUAGGACUAUCCAUAUGGAAGUAGGACCAUCCGUAAUUAACCGAAGCAGUCCGCAGGGCCAAAGAAAGGUCCAGGUGAUUUAUCCGUAGGACCAUCCAUAUGGGCCAAAGAAAGGUCCAGGUGAUUUAUCCGUAGGACCAUCCGUAAUUAACAGAAGUAGUCCUACGUCCGGAGGAUUCUUAUCCGUAGGACUAUCCAUAUGGAAGUAGGACCAUCCGUAAUUAACCGAAGUAGGACCAUCCAUAUGGAAGGAAGUAGGACUAUCCAUCCAUAUUAACCUUUGGUCCAGGCGCAGGCGCAAAGAAAGAAGCUCAUUAACUCGAAUUCAAGAAUCAUUAUGAUUGAAUCACCCAUAACCUGGAGGGAAAUCCAGAAUAGACCUCUCAGUAUCCGGACCAUAAACUCAAACUAGAAGUCUUCAUUGAUUUUCCCUGUCCUAGGAGUUCUUCUUUCAUUGCGUUUUCCCGGCUUUUUUGCUUCUAAAUGUGACUUUUGUUAAUCUUGAUAUUUAACGAUAAUUGUCUAAUUUUGACGGAUUUUUCAUGAUUUCUUGCUACUUUAUAGGCCCAAAACCUAGCAUUUUCUUGUAUUUCCCUCCGCGAAGGACUAGUCUGAAAUCUAGCAGAUUAAUCUGAAAUCUAGCAGAUUCAUAAUUCUUCUUGAAUUCGAGUUAAUGAGCCCGUAGUUAGGAGUAUUAAGACCGGUCCUACGUCCAUUUAUCCUCCGGACUAUCCGUAAUUAACCGAAGGAGGACUUUCCGUAAUUAACCGAACUUUGCGCCUGCGGGAUAAAAAAGAGAAAAUUCUUUGCUCCUCAUCUGGACCCGUCCUCCGGACUUGUUUAUCCAUUAAAUAGCGGGAGGCUCCAUAAGACAGGGAUAUUGUAGGCGGUCGAUGAGUUCUAUAAAGAUAGGUUCAAAAAUCAAGCCUCAAAUUCGCAAUAUUCUUUGCACCGCUCCGUGGGUUCCAGAAAUUCAAUGGAUCUAAUGGACACUAAUCUGGAGCUUGAUUUCUCUUGGACUUUCUCACGCAAUAUGCUUUGCGCCGCUCCGUGGGCUUACCUUUCAGUCGAGCCCUCCUACGGUCUCAUUGAUAAGGACAUCUUUGCAAAUGAAGAGCGGGAAUUACCUUUUCUCUUCGGGUUAGCUAAGAGUUGCCGGAGGCUUGAAGUCGGAUACUUUACUUCAAGGUUAAAGAAAUCUUCAACAUCUGCAAAUUUAGCGUUAGCGUUCUGAGCUAGCCAAGAAGUUUCUCUAUAAUAUAGAGGAAAAAUUAUGCAAUCUAACGACACUAAGAACCUAGAGUCACCGCGGAGUGGGAAGGUUCAUUCUUUCUGUCCCAAUCGGGAAGAGAGAAAAGAAAGGUAAUUCUUCCCCCUAUUUAUUUAUGGAUGUCAUUGACUCUUAGGCGGAGGACUAUGAAACCUAUUACUUUGAGAAGCGAGGCUGAAAGCCUCUGAUGUACACAAAUUGAAUAAGAAAAGCACCAGGACGGAGAGUUACAUCAUCAUAUUGCUCUCCUUACCUUAAUUAGAAUGCUUCAAGACAUAAUGCGAGAACCCGAAUAAGAGAAGCCUGAGAUUCAAAAUCAAGCUCCACUGUCUCACUUUGAAUAAAGGUUGGACCACUCUCUGUGGCUAUGUUACAAAGCAAGGAGUUCGCCCGUGGUAACUGGGGAAAGUUCUCGCUAAAUGACAUAUUAAGGGAAGCCGAAGCUUCCAGAAACGCCGGUCAUGAGCACGGCGCUCAAGCAGGAGCGUAUGAAGCGGAUCUUCAAAAAGAUAGAUAGUUACGACAAUUUCCUACAUCUAAGGAAAGAUCCGGAGAUCGCGGAGCUCCUCUUAUCCAAAUACAGCACCGUGAGGAUGGGAAGACUCACAGCGCAUGAAGAUGCAGGAGAUAUCAGCUAUGGAGCUACGAGUAGCCUAUCUCUCAGGGAAAGGGCGGCCCCAAGAAUAGACCGCAGAGCUCUUGCAAGAAAAGUACCUAAUGCGUCAUUGGAUAGCCACAAACCUUGUCUUCCAGAGGCCUAUAAAGACAAAGCAGCUCUUUGUCUAUGGUCCGCCAAGUACACAGAAAACCCUACGGAGCAGCGCGGAGGCUAUAUUCAUGCGAUACUCACCCUACUGGGCAGGAGUGCAGGCUAGAUGGAAAGUAUGAGAGAACUUUUCUCAAAAAGGCUAAUGUACCCUAAGAUGGGAAACCGGAUUCCAGGAAGCUUCACCAAUGAGGACACGCCCUGGUCAAAACGCGUAAUGCCCUGAAACUUCUAUUCCAAAUAGAAGGAUCAAUGCGGAAUAUUGCGGGUUUGCGUGAGAGGAUCGUGGCAACCUUGUACGGUUGCAUGUGCGGCCGCCUAUGGGCAGAUCGUGGGAAAUCCACGACUGAAAUACUAUCAACGGAGAACAAGCUGUAGAAAUACCUGUAAACGACCCCUCCUCGGAGCUUCUAAUGGAUAAAGACUCAUCCAGAGCUUGAUUUUAGCUGGCGCUACAAUAUCCCUGUCUUAUUUUUCGUGGAAUAAGACUCAAGAGGAGCGGUCCUCUGGACCUUUUUUAUCCGUCCGAAGUCCUCGCAAUAUUCUUUGCGCCUGUCUGUCCUUCGCAUAUUUCAUUGCGCCUCAGUCCUAUUCAACCCAUGGAAUUGAAAGUCUAAUCUUUCUUUGGGUCCUCCGUUUUAGAGUCCUACGGAUAAAUCCUCCGGACCUGUCUUAUGGCACCUCUCUUAGUCGAGCUGCUUCGCACCUGGAAGUCUCGUCAAUAUUCUUUUCACCUUCGGUUCAAUUAUUUUGGAGGGCUCAAAGAAUUUGAGACGAGUGCAAGCAGUUUCAUUCUCAGUUUCAGUACUCUAAGCAAGGUAAUUCUCAGAGUCAUCUGUCUAUCCCGUUAAGGGGCAGGUGUUCAGCCGGAGACAAGAAAGGGCUCGACUUCCUUUGGGGAUUAUCCCUUGAAUCAGUGGGAGUUGGUCUUGCAGUAGCAGUUCUUGUUCCAGUUUCAUAGGUUGAAUGAUCUCUUUCGUAAGGCAAAAAGGCUGAUUUCUCUAUUUGGAAUAUCUGUCCCAUUAUUUCAAAGUAAAGGAAAGCCUUUAGAUGCGCUCAAGCGCCCAACUGGGCUCGAAAGCUGCGAAAAAAGUCUCGCUGUGAAAUCGGUGUGGUGAGGUAUUGGAAGUGUUCAGCGAAUCGAGAGAAAGACAAGAAAGUGAAAGGCAGAGCUUCCGCAAAACGAGGUAGGUAGCUUUCGCUAAUGAGAGAUGGCUUUGGGGAUUAGGUCUCCAAAUUCAUGGAAUUUCUUUUCUCUUUCUAUAUAUGAGAAGCAAAGAUGCACAGAGCAACCCGACCGAAGGCGCUGAAGGAGGGCAAGUGGUCCACUCUCUCAUCUACAACAGAAGAUCAACCCCUUGUCCAAACUGAAGAUAAAGUUCAUAUGGACCUGAUCUCAAAUCCCCUAAUGGAUAGUCCUUCGGACCUGUCUUAUGGCACCGCGGAGUGGUCCGGAGGCGCAAUUCAAUAUGCGACUUUGAACCGGAGGUUCAAUGCCCACGGAGCGGGAGAGGUCUCGUCUUUUCCGCUGACUCCCACUUUUUCUUUCUGUAUUUGCUUAGUCUUUGCUUUGUUCUUUUCCCCUUUCCACUUGUACUUCCACUUUCUUCCUUUUUGAUAUCGCUUUUCUUCUUUCAGUUGCCUUCCUUCCUUUCUCCCCUCUGAUUUUAUGGAUGCCCCUCCCUUUAGACUUGCAGUAAAGCUGAACAAGUUGACUCAGCUUGCGCUUGGCUUCACUGCCUUGACUAUCAGAGAGAGGAAUUGCUAAAUAGACAGAGAGUAGUACCAUAGGCUUUCUUCUUUUUAGCUAGUGAAAGAGGGCAAUAUUCUUUGCGCCUUCCAUCUGCCUGCUUUCUUUGACUGCAACCAUGCUUGCCAGAGUUCUUGCUUCCCUUUUUCGGCCCCAGCCACAUACCGGUUAGCGAGGAGAUUGGUCUAAGAUGGCUAGUUGCUUGUACUUUAAUCGAGAAAAAGUUGGAGAUAUGAGAGAAAUUCUUUUCUUUCUUUGGGAUAAAUUGCCAAUUCCAUGAAAGCAUUUGCCUUAAUGAAAAAAGGGGAUCCUAUUGACCUAGGAUAAUAAGCUCAUGAGCUUAGUCUUACUUCACCAGAAAGGAAAGAAGACUUCCAUCUCCAAGUUGAACUCAGACCUAGCUCCCUUCUUUAUAUCGCCUCUGCUGGUCAUUCUGCUUUGAAACUAUGGGAAAUGAAUUAGAUAAAUCAGCCUUUCUUUCUAUAAAGAGAUAUAUAGCUCAUUCCCGAUCUCACUACUUCGCAAAUUCUUUGCUCCUUCUCUUUGUUCAAGAAGGGCUACGUGGGCGACUGCUGAAACUGGGUCCCGCACCCCUAUUUAUUUAUGGAUGUCAUUGAGCGGAGGACCUCGAUCAUUCUUUGAGGACGGAAGCUUGAUAAAGUCAGAAGGCGCAAAGAAUAUUGCCCUUUUUGAAAGGCACCAAAAACAAAGGCGCAAAGAAUAUUGCGUUAGAAAUCAGUGGAAUUAAUCAGUCCUCCGCCUAAGAGCGCAAACCAAAGGCAAAGGACGCGUCGGACUCCCGGACCUCUUUAUAUCCACAGGAAAAGCUUGAUAAAGUCAGAAGGCGCAAAGACGCAAUAUUCUUUGUUUUUGGCUAGGCUUUCUUUCUUCUUGUCUUUUAUUGCUCCUAACCCCGAAAGAGGUGGGGUUCCUUCUAACCUCUCCUCUUCCCCACGUAGCGGUCGAGACUAUUCUACUCUUUCCGGAUAGAUUCUGUUCUUUGUCUUUCUCAAAUUCUUUGAGCAUCGACCGCCUACAAGAUCCAGUCAAUUAAUGUAGUGGGCUGACUUUGCGCCUCAGUCGCAGCUCCUUUCAGUUCUCCGCAAUAUUCCCCAUAUUAAGCUACGGAGGCCAGACAGGUCCGAAGGACUAUCCAUAUUAACCCGUCUGUCAUCUGGUCCCUUUGAUUUUCUUCUUUGCUCCUAACUACUAAUGGAAAGGACCCACGGAGCGGUGCAAAGAAUAUUGCGAAGGACAGACAGGUCCGAAGGACUAUCCAUAUUAACAUUAACCCGUCUGUCCUUCGGUCUUAAUACUCCUAACUACGGGGGAUAUUCUUGUAAUUAAUUGACUGGAUCUUGUUUGCGUGAGGUGCAAAGAAUAUUGCGAUGUAGGCUCGACAGGGAUAUUCUUGGAUUUCAGACUCGCGUAGGCGCAGUUGCGCAAAGAAUAUUGCGAAAACGUAGGUGCAAAGAUCUAUGGCCCAAUUAUAAGGGGUCCAGAUGACUAUCCAUUAGGGAAUGUGAGAAGCUCCUUAACAGGAGUGCGGAGUCUGAAAUCCCGGGUUAAUAUGGAUAGUCCUUCGGACGUCCGAAGGACUCUAAAAAGGAGCCUAACGGAGGCUCAAAGAAUAUUGAGGUUAGGAGCAUUGAAUUUAUAGAGAAUAGUCCGGAGGACCUCCUUCAGCAUAAUCUAUGAAUGAUCGGUUUCAUAUUGCGGAAAAGAAGAAAGGCUCUUUUCAUAUUGAGAAAUCCCGUCCUUCGGACAGACGGGUUAAUAUGGAUAGUCCUUCGGACCUGUCUGUCCUUCGGACUGGAGCCAGAAAAAAAAGGGCAAUAUUCUUUGCGCCUUCUGACUGCUAACCUCUGCGGUCAGUCCUUCGGACCAGGUGCGCGAAGCGAAGCGACUGGAAGGAUAGAAGCAGCUCGACUAAGAAGGAGAGGCGCCAUAAGACAGGUCCGGAGUCCGCAGUCCGCAGGAUUUAUCCGUAGUCCUACGUCCGGAGUCCGCAGGGCCAAAGAAAGGUCCAGGGUCCGGAGUCCGCAGGAUUCUUAUCCGGAGUCCGGAGGAUUUAUCCGUAGGACCAUCCGUAAUUAACCGAAGUAGGACUAUCCAUAUGGAAGUAGGACCAUCCGUAAUUAACAGAAGUAGGACUCUAAAACGGAGGACCCAAAGAAAGAUUAGAUUUUAGGCGAAGGACUGAUUAAUUCCACUAAUAUUUCGGAGGACUUGUUAAUGGAACUGAUUGUAGUAGGCGUCGGACAACUCAUUCAUUCUAUUUAGACCUCAAUGAAGAAUAUUGAUGAUCUCUCGCUAUCGGAUAUCAAGAGUAUUCCAAAGAUUACUAUCCUGUUCAAGUCUCGUUUUUGACUAAUGGGAUGCCUUUUUUCAUUUUCAUCAGCCAAGGUCAAGACCUGCUAGUCCUACCACGUUAAGGGAGAGCACCCAACUUGCUUGUUGACACGUGAGGGAAAAUAGGAGUCAGAGGUGGGAGGAUUUACCACGUUAGCCCUAUGGUAGUGAUGGUUGGUCUUUUAGAUAUUAUGUCCUUUGAGUGCCUUUUGCGCGCUUAGCCUCGGAAAGAAAGAGGUGCUUCUACAGCGCUUUGGUGCUAAAACCUAAAACUAGGCUCAAUUCGGAAACUGAAACGAAGAAAUUCCCACGCAAUAUUCUUUGCCUGAAAUUUGAAGGAGUCUUAAGACCUCGCAUAUUUCAUUGCGCCUUCGCAUAUUUCAUUGCGCCUCAGUCCUAUCCAUUAGGAAUUAAACUGCGCUAGUAGGAUAGAUACGGCAAGAUCUUUCACUUUCUUCCUUGACCUUCCGGCACUGGGCGGGCUUGUAGACUAUUUCAUUCCAAAUCGUCGCCCCUUUCCUUAUCUACCGUGUGCCUAUUUGCUUUCUUUCAUAGGCAAAUUUCUUUGUCGGUGGCAACAUCGGCAUGCGUUAUAUAAGACUUUAAGCGCACCUUCACUACAAGACUGCCAGAACCGUCACGGGCUUCUUCUGGAACGAGGCGCAAAGAAUAUAUAGAAUAAAGGAGAGGAGUGGAACUGCUCGACUGUAAGGAGAGGAGUGGAACUGCUCGACUGUAAGGAGAGGAGUCCUUUUUCCGUAGGUUGAUGCUUUGUAUCGCACGCUUCUUCUAUUUUUCUAUAUAGUGUGAACACCUUGCCCCCUAUUCAUUAGUUCCAAGAAAGGGGCCGUUCACGUCGCCGGUUUUUGAUCUAGUUGCAAUAAAAUAAGUUCGCUUUUUUUCGUCGAGAUUGGGUUGGUGUGAAGCCUCAGUACAAGAUCGAAAAGAAUGCAUAGCAUUCCAAGUGAGAUGCCCAAGAUAAAAGGAACGAGGGGAAGAAUCAAUGACGGAGGACGCUCAUUCUAAUGGACCUCGCAUAUUUCAUUGCGCCUUCGCAAUAUUCUUUGCACCGCUCCGUGGGUCCUAUCCAUUAGACUGCACCUCGCAAUAUUCUUUGCGCCUGGAAGUCUAGUCAAUAUUCUUUUCACCUCCGGACUAUCCAUAUUAACCCACUAAAAAAGCGAAGGACUGCUAACCUCUGCGGUCAGUCCUUCGGACCAGGUGAGUCAGAAACAUUAACUUUAGGCAGAUCCCCCCUUAUUCUUAAAUAGUGGGACUUCUCGCAAUAUUCUUUGCGCCUCUCAACAAUAUCCCUGUCUUAUGGCACCUUCUGCUUCAUGAUUUUGGAUAGCCAAUUAUAUAGAAUCUUUGACCCUUUGUUCAUUGCCUUGAUAGGCUUGGAGUUGAUUCCACUUUUGUCUCUUCUUUAGGCUUUCUCAAUAUUCUUUUCACCUUGCCUCGUCCGGAGGACUAUCCAUAUUAACCUGUCUAGCCUUCGGACUGGUCCGGAGGCGCAAAGAAUAUUGCCCAUUAGAACUUUUUUCAAUCAAAAAGCGUGAGGAUCAUUCUCAACUCUCGAUGUUAGAAGGUGCAAAAUCAAUGGGUGCCGGAGCUGCUACAAUUGCUUCAGCGGGAGCUGCUGUCGGUAUUGGAAACGUCUUCAGUUCUUUGAUCCAUUCCGUGGCGCGAAAUCCAUCAUUGGCUAAACAAUCAUUUGGUUAUGCCAUUUUGGGCUUUGCUCUAACCGAAGCUAUUGCAUUGUUUGCUCUAAUGAUGGCCUUUUUGAUCUCAUUCGUAUUCCGAUCUCAAAGGUUUCAGUCUCAUAAAGCAAGACCUCCGAAAUAUUAGUGGAAUCUUUGAAUAGUCCUUCGCCUCAUUCUAAUGGACCAACAACAGUUCUUCCCGCUGAUUUUCAUUGCGCCUGGACCUUUGUUUUUGGAAUAAUUGACCCCCUCCGUUAGGCGCAAAGAAUAUUGCGAGAGUCCUGAUCCUUUAUAAAGCAGUUUCAGACGUUAGGAGCAAAGAAUAUUGCGAGACCGGUCCGUCCUCCGGACUCAAGGAUUCCGCUAAAGUUUAGGGAAUUUAGGAGCUAUUCCAAAACGAGCUGUUAAAUUCCCCCACGGAGCGGUAUCUAAUGUUUCAGACGUUAGGCGCAAAGAAUAUUGCGAGACCGCGUAGAAGGAGUCUUAUUCCAAUAAUAUCCGUAAUGAUCCUUUCUUUAUAAAGCCGUUUUUUUCGGAGUAUUAGGAACCGGCUUAAAUAGGCGACUCAUGAUUCCACUAAAUAGUUAGGCUCCAUAAGACAGGUCCGAAGGCGUCACAGGUUAAUAUGGAUAGGACUGAGGUCUUAAGACUCCUAACUACUAAUGGAAAGGACUGAGGACGUCCGAAGGACUCUAAAGAGGACGGGGGUGAGGCGCAAAGAAUUUGCGAUGCGUUCCAAAAAAAAGCUGUGAAAUCCCCACGGUGCGGUGCAAAUCUUCUUAUAGAUUAUGCUGAAGGAGGAUCAAUGAAAUUUGAUGAGUCAUGAUCCCGAAAAAGACUGCCACUCCGCGGUUCAAUUCAAUAUUCAAGGCGGAGGUUCAAAGUCGCAUAUUGAAUUGCGCCUCCUUCUAAUGGAUAGUCCUACGGAUAAAUCCUCCGGACUACUUCGGUUAAUUACGGAUGGUCCUACUUCUGUUAAUUACGGAUGGUCCUACGGAUAAAUCCUCCGGACUACUUCCCUCCAUAUGGAUGGUCCUACGGAUAAAUCACCUGGACCUUUCUUUGGCCCUGCGGACUCCGGACUGUUAAGGCUCAAAGAAGAUUUCGAAAUCCAUAUAUAUAAAAAAGGCUAGGCGAAAGGCGCGAAGCGAAGCGCAUGAAAUUCAGAGGUGCAAAGAAGAAAGAAAGAAGAGAAUGGCGAUCAGAAGAUUGAGAAAUCCAUAUUUGUGGAUAAGAGAGGUCCUUCGGACUGGUAGAUUUCAGACGAUAGAGGUGCAAAGAAGAAAGAAGAGAGUUGCGUGAGAAAGUCAAAUAAUAGCUAUUAAUACUCCUACAAUAUCCCUGUCUUAUGGAGCCUUAGUCGUAUUCCAAAAAAUAGCCGUUUUCAAAGUCAAUGACAUCGGUUUUUAGUCAGCUAAAGAUAUUCUUUCUUCCCGCUCCGUGGGCUUAACGGUUCAAUGAACAAGGGGUGUAGUUCCUCCGCAAUAUUCUUUGCGCCUUCGCCUCGCAAUAUUCUUUGCUCCUAACUACGGGGGUACGAUCUAACUAAAAGGAUUCCACAUUCAAGAGGACCGGACACCUGAGUCGAGUAAUGGGAAGCGGGCUAGUCCCCGAAAAUGCUCGUUCCUGUUGGGGCUUACAAUGAACCUUGUGACUCUAACUCUUCUUCAAAAAAAGCCUCUCUAUAUUAGCGGAUCAGUCUUUACUUAUCUCAAGCAAUGUCCAUCCCAUGCCUUUCUUGGUUGGACCAACCCAACCGGCGAUUUCCGACAAGUCUUUCUUCAUUUUUCUUGAAAGAAGCGGAACUACAGGGAUGAAAUGAAAAGUGUUUCUGACUCUUACGCCCAACAGCCCACUUGAGCAAUUUGCCAUUCUCCCAUUGAUUCCUAUGCAUAUAGGAAACUAUUAUUUCUCAUUCACAAAUCCAUCUUUGUUUAUGCUGCUAACUCUCAGUUUGGUCCUACUUCUGCUUCAUUUUGUUACUAAAAACGGAGGAGGAAACUCAGUACCAAAUGCUUGGCAAUCCUUGGUAGAGCUUAUUUAUGAUUUCGUCCCGAACCUGGUAAACGAACAAAUAGGUGGUCUUUCCGGAAAUGUGAAACAAAAGUUUUUCCCUCGCAUCUUGGUCACUUUGACUUUUUCGUUAUUUCGUAAUCCCCAGGGUAUGAUACCUUAUAGCUUCACAGUUACAAGUCAUUUUCUCAUUACUUUGGGUCUCUCAUUUUCUCUUUUUAUUGGUAUUACUAUAGUGGGAUUUCAAAGAAAUGGGCUUCAUUUUUUCAGUUUUUUAUUACCCGCAGGAGUCCCACUGCCAUUAGCACCUUUUUUAGUACUCCUUGAGCUAAUCCCUCAUUGUUUUCGCGCAUUAAGCUCAGGAAUACGUUUAUUUGCUAAUAUGAUGGCCGGUCAUAGUUCAGUAAAGAUUUUAAGUGGGUCCGCUUGGACUAUGCUAUGUAUGAAUAAUAUUCUCUAUUUCAUAGGAGAUCCUGGUCCUUUAUUUAUAGUUCUUGCAUUAACCGGUUUGGAAUUAGGUGUAGCUAUAUCACAAGCUCAUGUUUCUACGAUCUCAAUCUGUAUUUACUUGAAUGAUGCUACAAAUCUCCAUCAAAAUGGUUAUUUAUUUAUAAUUGAACAAAAGCGAAAAUCAAGCUCCAGAUCCUAGGCUAAAAUCAAGGCGGUCGAUCGAGUGGAAGAGUGGAAAUAAGGCAUGUCCGGAUAAGUCAAUGUUCUCAAAUUCAGGCUCAAGAUGAGAUUCUUUCUUUUCUGGCCUUAGGCGCAAAGAAUAUUGCGAUGCGAUUGCCUUCUAUAUAUUCUUUGCACCUUCGGACCGGCAAAAAGAAAGGUCAAGAUGACAUUCUUGAUUUAGGAGCGAAGCAUGAAAAGAAGAGAUAAAUAAAGUGUUAAGGAGCGCAAUCAAUGAACAAAGGAGGUCGGAUCGUCCUUUAAGUUUCAUGGCUUUCCUGAGAAGGAGCUUCAAGCUCUCACUCAGAUACAUCGGGUCAGACAUAAGAAGGGGAGGGCCAGUAUGAUCUCUUUCCGUUGAGGAUCAAAGUCGCAUAUUUCAUUGCGCCUCCUUCGGUUAAUUACGGAUGGUCCUACUUCCAUAUGGAUAGUCCUACGGAUAAGAAUCCUCCGGACUCCGGACUACUUCGGUUAAUUACGGAUGGUCCUACGGAUAAAUCACCUGGACCUUUCUUUGGCCCAUAUGGAUGGUCCUACGGAUAAAUCACCUGGACCUUUCUUUGGCCCUGCGGACUGCGGACUCCGGACUACGGAUAAAUCCUGCUUCUAAUGGAUAGUCCUACUUCCAUAUGGAUAGUCCUACGGAUAAGAAUCCUCCGGACGUAGGACCCUGGACCUUUCUUUGGCACGUAGGACGGGAGAGUUGUCUUUCUUCUUUCUCUCUGAACCCCACUACGCGGUUUCCUCUUCUUCUUUUUAGUAGGCUUCAUUAAAUUAAGCUACGUAGGACUCUUUAUCAAUGAUUUAUCGUCUUCUCUCUCUUUUCUCAGAGUAGGUUCUAGGGUUGGGUUCUGGACUUCACUAAAUAUUCCACUUUUCUUAUCAAGAACUCCUUCUUUCUACUGGGAAAUUGUGCAUUUGAACUAAUCAAUGGCGGAUGGGGGUUCAUUCGAGGGUCGGCUGAUCUUGAAUGAUAAGAAAAGGAGUAGAAGAGCUUUACCAGAGCCUUAGCGAGAGGUUGCUAAAGCGCUGGGUGAGGGACAAUUGGUGAGCCGUAUGAUGGGCAGAGUCAUAGGUUUCGAGGGCUAAGAGAGAGAGAAUGAGAGAAGAAAGAUACCGGAAGCCGCCACUUGAUAGGCUCCUUCUUCUUUCUUUUCUUUCUUCUUCGGUCUGAAUAUCCCUUAUGCUUGCAUUGGCCAAAGAAAUCUGCAUUCUUUGACUUUUAGAUCUCAAUCCUAGUUUAUCCCAUUCUUUCUCCUUUAAAGCGCCAAUUUGCGACCCACGGAGCGCUUUUCAAUAUUCUUUCUCAGGCAAUAUCAAUAUUCAGGUUUCUCGCAAUAUUCUCAAAUCAAAUUUCGAGCAAUAUGGGCCUUCUACGCGGUCGAAGACUUCUUCCUCCCAGUUCUAGCGGUCCCUCUCCCUACGGUCGAGCUAUUUCAUCCCUCUCCCUACGGUCGAGCUAUUUCAUCCCUCUCCCUACGGUCGAGCUAUUUCAUCCCUCUCCCUCUUCCUACCCCCUGUUUGGCCGGCCUUUCUUACUUCAACUUCUGGAGCUUUCUCUCUUUUAUAAGGCGAAAGACUGACCUCGAUCGAUAUUCCACAUCUCCUCUCGCGGGGAUUCUGGGUCCAGCAUCUCAUGGUCUACAUGAUGAUCUUGGAAAGAUUUGGACACCAAGGCAGAACCAUUGAAUACGGAGAAGGGUAGAUCACCCCGCCGAUUCUCUUCUGACUUUCUUAUCUUUUUGUGAUGCUGCCCGCUUUAUUCUCAUCCUGAGUGAUAGCACAUAUAAUUCCCCUAUUUCAGUCUGACUCCAUAAUCCGACCCCUUGUUCAUUGAGGCGGUCAAUCCGGCCGGCCUUCAAGGCGCCGUCCUACGCAGGUGCUGCGAGAACCUUUACCAAGUCUGACUCGGUCGGGUUAAGAAUACCUGACCCUUUCCUAUUCAAGAGCGGACUCUUACUCAAGAUCGGAAUUCUUGGUCUUACCCUUGCUCAGAACCCUAUUUAUAGUCUUUCAAGAAGUAGGUGCUACACCCCCAUUCCAGUGAACCCCAUCAGUCCGGGAUCGCUAUCGGUCUCUAACCUAUUUUUCUCAGUAUCCACUCUUCACCCUUAAUCAGAGAUAUGGUAAAGCCUGCUAGUCUUCCUCAUUCCUCUUCGGAAACUCUUAUUCCGGGGUGGACGAAUACCUUUGGCCUCGCUACCCUAUUCGGAAAGAGAGAAUGAGAAGGAGGCGUAAACUCUCUCAUUCUAAUAGUACUCUUCCCCUGCUUCUUUAUCUCCUGAUCCCCUUUCUUUGGCCCUAUUCAGGUCGAAAGCUUUCGCUUUCAGUGUCUGACGAAGGAUCUCAUACUUUCCCCUAGCAAUAUGCUAAGCUCUGACUCCCCUUUAAUGAGGCGUAGAUCCCGCUCCGUGGGCAACUUUCUCAGCAGCCAGGGCUACGGCUCGGUCUCAUUCAAAGAUCUUGGUACUGAACCCACUGCCUCGAUGCGGGACCCCUUCUCUGGCAUGAAUCCACGGCAGGUUGAAGGAAGUCGGGAUGGCGCCAGGCCUCUGAAGAAUUCUUUACCUACACAAAAGAGAGAAUUCGGCCAGUUCAGGCGUCUACCUCAUCGCGAGAAGACUUCCUUGACGGAUUCCUAUUUGCUUCUUCCGAUCCGUGGAGACGGAUAACCUGGGGAGCCUACUCAGCCUAUGAAAGACUGAUCCCUAUCCGAGGACAUAGUAGUCGAGCGUGAACCCUCUUAACCCACUACGCGGGAAAUCUGGCCCGGCUGGUCGACUUUCUUCGAACCUAGGUCUGGGAGUCUCGCCUUUUCUUUAUUUCGCAACCUUAUAUUACCUUUCCUUCAAGUACUCAUUUGAUUAGGAGUCGGAUGGGCUGAUUAUUGCGGACUCCCGCUCCGUGGGAAUUCGUAUUUCAAUUAGGUUCUGGAAUUUGAAGGUCAACUCCUUCGCUAUCACUUUUCUGGUCUAGCCUUAUCAUAAAGAGGGUCGUCUCGCAGCCUAAUCCGAAACCUCAUUCCUGGAGGCCUUUCGCUUACCGCUCCGUGGGAGGGUAAGGCACUACUACUAUUUGAGAAUUAGCCUUUUGAAGAGCUGAAACUCUAAACCUAUGGAAUCAGACUCCUUGGCUGGGUGAAGCAGCGGACUGAGGAUCUAAUUGCAGGAUAGCCGCCAGUGGGUGGGGUUGGUUGGCUUCUAGAAAUUAGCCGAAUAGGAGGGCUCUCAUUUAUGAUUAUGAUCCUUAUCUUUCAACUGAAGAAAGAAUAUCCUCCAAGGCCCAUUCUUAGUCUCGCUCAAUCUCCCACUCGGACUCUACAAAGCCUAAGAGUUCGGCGCGGACGAUUGUCUUGGAUGAAAGAAUAGCUCUCACUCUCAUUCAAGAUCGAAAAGAAGAGAAUUACGGUAUUUCUGAAAGUCACUCCUCAAAUUCUUUGAGCCUCGUAUUCGCUCAGCAAAGAGCUACUGCAUUCCCUCUCGUUCAUUCUCUCGCUACUGAAUUCCUCAACGGGUAUCGAUUUCAUUCCGAAACCUUUCUUCUUCUUCUCGUGAAAGAUCCUAAUUCUUAGUUCAUGCUGGAGCUAACCUCUCCUGAGAAUGAGAACUCUGAUGAAUGAAAUACCAUGACGAAUCUACUCUACUCGGGACAUAGGCUUCUGACCCGCUCCGUGGGCUCCCCUCCCUCUUUUGGUCUCGACAAGGUUCCCCGCCAGACUAUGACUCUUGAUCUUUCUUCCGAAAGAGAGGAAAUAAUCUUUUCAUCGAAAUCACUCCCCAACUCGGCCAACUAAGCAGCAAGAACUCGGUUUCUGGGUAGAAAGAAGUCAAAGAAGAGUGAAAAGAGCUAUGAUGGUCGCGCUUUCUCUUGUUGUUAUGAAGAGAGUUCUUUCUUUCUCAAUCGGUAAUAAUACCCAAAGGGCUACUGCGGUACCAACCGGAAGAAAAUCAGUCAAAUCCCUUUUCUUCUUUCUUUUCUUUGUGUCCGGCGGAUGUCUUAUAAAUCGUCUCUCUUUCAUGAUCCGUUGCGGAAGGGUACGCAACUCGAUCGGUCCUCCGGACUAUUCGCUAUUCGGUAUUGAAAAGAAAGGCGUAUUUCAAUCAAAUUCACCCGAAGCAGAAUAAGCAGCGGAAUAAAUCGGGGCGCGAGACUAACCUAAAGGGGAAGAAGCAGUACCUUUGUUCUUGUUCCAGUCGAGUUUCAAUUCAAGAGUUGAGGAAAAGCCGAUGUAGUUUUGUCGCUGAGGCUCAACCGUAUCUCUUCCUUCUUAAGCCUCUUCUAGAUUUGAUACUAGAAGUCGCUUUUCUUGUUCUUGAAUAGGCAGAUCGAGAACGAAGAAUAAGAACAAGACUCAAAUCAAAGGAAGAAAGGAAUCAAAGAGGUUCCUUCCAGAAGUGCUAGCCCUUGUUCAUUGGGAAUAAAGAAUAGACCUCUCUUUCUCCGGACCACAAACUCAAACAAAAACGAUAAUCAAACUAUGUUCAUUUCUGUCCUAGGACAAUGCCUUGCAAUUUCCCGGCUUUUUUGAAGCAAAAUAGGACUAAAUAUCAUCUUUCUAUUUAACGAAAAUAGAGAAAAAAAGAAGGCAUUUGACUUGAUUUCUUGCUACUUCCCUAUGGGCAAAACCUAGCAUUUUCCGGGAUUUCCCUCCGUCUUCAAUCUCCAAAUCAAUGAAGGAGUACAAUGAAAUCAUAAUGAUUCUUGAAUUCGAGUUAAUGUUAAUGAGCUUCUUUUCGUCAAUAUUCUAUAUUCUUUUCACCUUUCUUUCUCCGUCCUCAGUCCUAUCCAUAUUAACCCGUCUGUCCUUCGGACGGGGGAUUUGAAUACUAUUACUUCUUAUUUGACGUUAGGAGCUUUGAAUUUGCGAAGCGCUCGGAGAAUCAGAAUAGAAUGAGAGAGAGGAUUGGGACCGAAGGACAGCCGUACCCACCUACCCCGAACCCUGUAACCACAGCUAUGCCUAACCACUAGGCCUAAGCAAAACCUUGUUCCCUGUGCACUAAAGAACCCAAGAACUCUAGUUCAAUCUCAUUCUCUCCUAACCCAGUACCCGUUCCACGCUAUAAGCGCCUUGGCGUGAGACGAUCUGACGAUCUUUCUGACCUAUUGAUCUACUAAGACAAUUCUACAGCUUCAAGAAGAGAAAAGCCAAUCCCCUAAUUUCAGGGCCAUGAAGGGAGAGCUUCUAAUUCCGCUUCGGACCAAUUCUUGAUUCUCGUACUUCUGAAAGCGAUCUAGCGGACUAUGCGGGGACUCAAGGGGAAUGCCCAACUAUUUACGUAAAUCAAUGAAGAAAUCAGCCACGCAAUAGGCCUUACCAGAGAGAGAUCUAGAUCUUAUCCUGCUGACUCCUCAAGACGCGCACCCCUAUUUAUUUAUUUAUGGAUGUUCAUUGUAUUAAGCUACGAAGGCCCGAAGCGAAGCGACUGGAAGGAUAGAAGGUACUCGGCUUUCUACCCACUCCGCGGUGCCAUAAGACAGGUCCGAAGGACAGACGGGUUAAUAUGGAUAGUCCUUCGGACUGACUCCGCCAUAAAAGAUAGGGGGGAUGAAUGAGUGCCAGGAUCUUGUGAGGCUUCGGAGAGAAUACGUCUUUCUAUGAUUCCUCUUCUUUCUGCCCUAUGAAGACCGAAACGAAUAAUCAAAAAAAGAAGCUCGUAGGGAUAGGGGAAUCCAAUUCAAUACCGUCCAUCCUUACUAAGGAUGCGCUUUCUUCGGCUGCUUCAGUGAAUGCACCAACCCCUACGAUUGAUUCUGUCUUUUCCCUUGCCCCGAACUGGUCUCGAUCGAUCCCAUCCCGAUAGCCUGUCAGAAAAUAAAUAGAGAAAGAAGAAAGUAAUUCAGUCUGAUCCCUUUUUCUGAUUCCCGAUCUGAAACAAAGACGAAUGAGAACAGUCAAUUCACUCAAAGAAAUCCCCAUGUUCUGAACACCGAUGUGUACUUUAAGAUGUCGCCCUAGGCUCACUGGUACGAGAGAAAAUGCUUUAGGAAGGGGGCCCCAUAAAUAAGGUGGAACUCCGGCCGGCGCACCCAGCUUAUUAAUUCCUUCCCGUCCCAUAACAAGAUUGAGUUCCAAUCUAAUCGAUAAUUCUUUGAGCCCUCCGUUAGGCGCAAAGAAUAUUGCGAGACCGGUCCUACGUCCGGAGUCCGCAGUGCCAAAGAAAGGUCCAGGGUCCGGAGUCCGCAGGAUUCUUAUCCGGAGUCCGGAGGAUUCUUAUCCGUAGGACUAUCCAUAUGGAAGUAGGACCAUCCGUAAUUAACCGAAGGAGGACCAUCCAUAUGGAAGGAAGGACUUCUUUCUCCAUUAGUUUUUCCAUAUUAACUUCUUCCUUUCUUAAGGCGAGCUAAAAGAUUCCUCUUCCAGCUUCCUCUUACUAAAUGUAGGUCGAGUUAUUGAAUUCCUACAUAUGAAUAAUUGGUCGUAUGAGCACCGAGUCAACUCAUUCAAUGAUCUAGGCCGACCCUUUACAGUCUCGGUCAAUUACAAUUACAUCGCCCCAAUUGUCUAUCGGUAAAUCGGACAAGAAAGAAGGUCAAUCCGGUCCUUUGUUAGCAGCUACUGAAGGUCAAUCUGGCCUAGCCCCUUAGUAUUGGUAGAGCAGGCUCUUUGUCGAGUUUCUUCCCGGACCCUCAAAAUAGAGUAUAGAGUGAGAGCUUAGCUUCUUUCCGAUCCAUUCCAAUGCUACCCCUUCAAGCCGCGCCUAUUUCCUAUUAAUUAAGUUCCGCCUUAAAGGCCCAAUUCCAAGUUGUGAAAGAUGGCCUUGACUUUCUUCUUAGUGUAUUAGAAUACAUAUUCCCAAAGAAGAGAGGAUAGAGAGUCCGCUUCCGCUCGAGUGUGAGAACUAGGGCCCACCGCUCCGUGGGUAAUGAGAUCUUUGGUCCCAUUGAGUCUUUGAAGGAUCAGUGGAAGCUCCUUCUUUAAUGAAAUAGGUGAAGCAUGAAGAGCUAAGCCACUGACGAACCCUUUCUGCGCGUAUGAGGUUUCUGGAGAUAUCUGCUCGGCGCACUUCCCGGUAGAAAAAGAGUCUAAGAAAGGAGCAAAGAAUUUGCGUGGAUGUAUAAGGAUCCCAUUUACCCCUUUCCUUUCUCUGGUUGAUAAGCUUGAUAAGAGAACCCUUGAAAUCAGAGGGAUUUAACCUAACCGUCUUCUUGACUAAGAAAUGAGUAUUGACCUCAUCAAAUGCAGAAAAAUGCCUUGAUUUUAGUAGCGAUAUGGUGUGCCCUCUACUUCUGCCCAGUCUCUAAUGCCUGCAGCAUUAAGGGAUGACUUAAGAUCUGGUCUCACAGCUGAACUUCCGAUCCUUAAUAGUCUCGACCCUUGUUCAUUGAUUCGAUCUUCUAAACUUUUAACCUGCUUAAGCAGCGGGGAGUUUCUUCCUCUUUUCUUUGACCGGAGUGAAAAUAGAGUAUUUAUUACGCACUAUUUCUAUGUUCUCGCUUACGUGUUCUGGAAAGUUCCCAAGAACGAAUGCAAAUUAAUAGGGCACAUUAAUAUACAUUAAAUAAUCAGCUGAAAGAACGGACGCAACAAGGACUACAGCAAGAACCGUGGCCCAUUAGGGUGGAGUUCAUUCUGGAAACCUUGGCUUUCUUCUUCCACACAAGGGUCAAAGAAUUUGAGUCCUGCCUUGAUUCGCGGGGUUUUGAAAGAAAAUGAGUUCAAGCUAGCAGGGGUCGGACCUUUCGCUGAGAGAACAACUGUGAUUCUGCAAAUCAAAUACCCGCUCUAUCGGCUUGCUGGGAUUAUGGAGGGGGAAUCCUUUCUUUAGUUAUCAUUAAUUUCUGAGAUAAAAGAGAGAGAAGGUUCCAACAAAGGAUGUGCCUUAUGUUCGCGUGCCCAAGCUCGUACUUCUUCAACAGGGAGACCCCUUUUUACAGGGAAUUAGAUUGAAGAGAUGAUAAUAAUUGAAUUAGAGCAUAUUUAGAGAAAAUAGUACUUUGAGAGUCCGAAGGACUGAUUUAUUCCACUUAAGUUAGGAUGAGAAGUUAGCGCUUAAAGUAGAUGAUCAAAGAGAACUAAAUGGGCGAUCAACGGCUAAAAAGAGAGAGUGAGAGCUUAGCUUCUUUAUCUACUCCAACUGCUUCCUCCACGGGGAGAGGUGGGGAUUGGAGAAGGGUCUUGAGCUGCUCGUAUGCGUCCUGAGAGAAAGUGCCAUUUCACGAGGUCGAAAGAGGAUAGACAAAGAUUUCCCAGGACAUAGAGAAAGAGGCUAUUAGCCGACGUCUCCUACGCCUUGCUUACCGAUCUCACGAACUACUUCUCCAUCCCGACGAUACGAUACAUCUAAUUACCGACGGAGCGGUAGAUGGGCCCUCAAAUAGCAGCUUUGUCCCACUCGAGCGGGUUAGGAGGUGGAGUCACUGUUGGGGAAUUCGACAGGAAUUCUCUUUUUAGGCGGAGCCUUUCGGUUGCAGUUCUUGUUCGCCUUCCCGCGUAGUGGGUACCGUAUGAGGUUUUAGUUGCCUUAGAAAAAAAAGAGGUAAGAAAGAUCAUGAUUUCGUAAGGCAAGGCCAGUUUGAUUCAUUCUUUGACUUUGAAUUAAUGGGUUUUAGUAGGGUCCUUUGUCCUCUUUGCGCUCCUUAAUAGUAAUAGUCGCUUGGCUUCGCAUCUUCAUAUUUGUAAUAGUCUUCGUCUAGUGGAAUUCUUUCGUUGCACUCCGUCCUCUUGACUCCUUUUCUCUCUUCUUUUCAUGCCUUUCGUAAACUCUUUCUUCAUUGAUUCAGUUUUUUUUCUCGCUAUUUCAUAAUGCACUCCUUCUUAUUGGAUAAGGAAGGAAUGAGCUUGAAACUCCUCGCAUAUUGAAUUGGGCCUCUACAUUAUUUGAUUUUGAGUCGAGUUAUUUCAUAACCUCCGGACCGUCCUCUUGACUCGUCUUUUCUCUUUCUAUUAUAUUUGAUAUUUGGUUUAGUGGAAUCUGACUCCGUAGGAGGCUUCGCAUCUUAAUGUUUUAUAUAGUCUUUUCAAAUCAUAAGAACCUUGCCGUAGGUCGUUUUCUCAAUCAUAAAGACCUCUUUACUCUAAAAGGUCGGAUCGUCCGCUGUACCCGCCCACUACGCGGUUGAAAGAUCAGUUUCUCUUUCUGUCGUUGUGGCAAAGCCAUUAUUCUAAAUAUGGUAUAUUCACGAGUAGGAUGAAAUACGGAUUGAUGAAAAAGUCAAUUCAGAGUUCUGGGACAAAGACUCCCAGAAACCGGAGGCAAGGUUAUUCCAUAGCGAGACCGGUCCGGAGGCUCAAAGGAUAUUGAGCGAUGGCGCAAAGAAUAUAUAGAAGGUGCGGGUUAUUCAAAUUUCAGGAUCAGGACUCUAAGAAUAGACCUCUCUUUCUCCGGAACACAAACUCAAACUAGAAGUGAGAAAUGUGAAUUUCUGGGAUAGGAGUUCUUCUUGAAUUGCUAUUUCCCGGCUUUUUUGCUUCUUUUUCAUAGUUUUUCUCAUAUUGAUAUUUAACGAAAAUAGAUCAAUUUUGACUGAUUUUUUGUCUUUUCUUGCUACUUCCUAUGGGCAAAACCUUGCAAAAUCAUGUAUUUCACUCCGUCAAAAAGACUAAAAUCGAUGUCUGAAAUCUCCCAUAUUCACCUCUUUCUUUUUCAUUCCCAUUUUUUUCUUCUUUCAUUAUCGUUAAUGAGUUCAUUCUUUCUCUCAACUCCUCUUGAGAUAAUUCUUUGAGCCUUCCUGAUGGAUAGUCCUUCGGACCUGUCUUAUGGAACCAACCUCUCCUUACAGUCGAGCCGCUUUCGCUCCUCUCCUCGAUCAAGAGGUUAUUAGUCUCAAAGGAAGAGGAAGUAAUAUAAUAGCUCGACGUUCAAGGGCACAUACUGAGUUUACGAAGAAGAGGAGAAAUGAGUUUACGAACGAUCUAGGGAAGAGUUGAAUCUUUUCUUGCUGUGGAAGUAGCUGAAUAAGGCUCUUUCUGAAGUGGUUGAAGGAGAGGUUCUAGCUUUUCUUGUUCCGGUUUCAUAAGUGGCAGUGGACAUUGGCAGCCUCAGCUGCUAUCUCUCUUGCCCAAGCAAGGCAAAUAUCAAGGCUUAAAACGAGAAAUCCUGGGAUUGUAAUGUCCCAGUUGGUUAGUCUCUAAUACUGUGAUUUGACUAUUUCAUGAUUCCACGUUCUUUAAGGAAGAAAGGUCAGACGGAGAAGUCAGAUAAUCAGCCGUAGCCCAUCCAAUAAGGAAGAACAGACUAAAAAGUCAGAUAAGACUUAAGGCGCGAAGCGACAACCUACUAAACCUACGGCAGAACUGGAGGCAAGGGGCGAAGAGAAGAUACCGUAGGUCAGACUAUUACAAAGAAGAAGAAGACGAUAAGACGAUCAGACGAUAUUGAAUGCUCCGAAUCGUCUUCCUUCCGGCUUUCCCUUCUUUUUUCUUCUGGGGAAUCUUCCCCCUUAUCUUUUUCCGGCUUUCUCGGAAAGAUCCCUUGAACUGUGACUGGGCUGCGCCUUUGAUUCUGAGUACUUUAUCUAAGAGUACUUUAUCUAAGAGUUCUCGAUCCGAGUAGAUCGUAGAUCGGAUCGGCUUUGCCUUUUCUUUUCCUUCUUUAUCCGGGGAAUCCUCCCCCUUGACUUUAUCCGGUAAAUUCCCCUUGACUGACUUAGGGGCCGAGAGGUACUAGCUCGGUAUCGUCAUUCCCUUCUUCGAGAUCUACGAUCGGUAUCGGCUUUGCCUUUUCUUUUCCUUCUUUAUCCGGGAAAUUGUCCUUGACUUAGGGGCCUUCCGGCCUCGACUCCUUCUUCUUCUUUAUGCUGUGGGGAAACCUUCCCCUUACCUUUUUCUUCUGGGGAAUUCCCCUUUACCUAGGGGCCUUUAGGCCUCCUUCCCUUCUUUUUCCUCUGGAGAAACCUUCCCCUUAUAGUAGUUCCCUUCUUUUUCCUCUCUCAAAUUCUUUGAUCCUCCCCUUUCAAUCAAGGAAGUUGCCGAUAGGCCUCGACUCCUUCCCUUCUUUCUCCUCUGGGGGAAUCCUCCCCCUUGACUUUAUCCGGCUUUCUCUUUUGUCUUCCUUCCGGCCGGCGGCCUUUGCCUUAGUUCGUGGUAGAUCCGAGGAGAUCGGAUCGGCUUUGCCUUUUGUCUUCCCCCUUAUCUUUAUGCUGUGGGGAAACCUUCCCCUUAUAGUAGUUCCCUUCUGUAUCCUGUGGGGAAUGCUCCCCUUUCAAUCAAGGAAGUUUCCGAUAGGCACUGAAGGAAAGUCAAGGCCGAUAGGCUAAGCUCUUGACUCAUUCAUUCCAUAUUACUAGAACCCAGAAGACGAUUCCGUCUGAUCGUCUUCUUUCCUCAAUAUUCUUUGAACCUGAUUUUGCUUUAUUCUUUGGGGAAUCUUCCCCCUUAAAUAACUAAAGUCCGAUAGGUACCUUCUUUAUUUCAAUCAAGGAAGUUGCCGAUAGGCACUCAAGGAAAGGGCCUUUAGGCCGAGAGUCGGCUUUGCCUUUUGUCUUCCUUCUUUCCGGCUUUGCCUUAUCUUAUUAUAUUAGUUCGUGGUAGAUCCGAGGAGAUCGGAUCGGCUUUGCCCUUUUGUCUUCCUUCAGUGAACAGGAAAGUGCUGGAGUUGUACGUAUCUACUGCCUUGCCCACUUGUUCAGGGGAUCGGCCCAGGCUAGAAGAAUGAUCCUAGAGCGUGGCGCCUCGAAAACAAACUUUUUGUGAAUAUCUCAUCAGCUCCGUCAUGAAAAAUCAUGAAAGGAGGCGCCAUUACGGUUCCUCAAGCGGAGAGCGCGCCCCGGGAGUCUAACCCGGUCGUCUCGCCAAGAUAAGAGAGUACGGCGCCGUGCAAGGAUUUACCUCUUCUCUUUGCCCUUCCUCUCCAUCUUGUUUCUCACCUGACCUUGCAUAGUUUCGAUCUGUCUGCAAGAACCCGAUUAGCUGAUUGAUUCUUCGUUUGUAUGAGUGCGGGACGCUCCAUCAAUUCACCAACAGAAAUAAGGAGCCCCCAUACAAUCAAUAGUCGAUACGGGCUUUCGUCCCGUAAAGCGCAUGGGGCACGUUCUAGGAUGGAGGAUGGGGUUCUUCUAGGUACGUAGCAAUCCAUACUUUCUACUAUUCACUGAUUCGUUCUUGCCGAAAGAAGGACGUACCGACCUCACUUCCUUCCGACAAGGGCUCUACCUCUACUUCUGAAACUCAAAACGUCGGACCUUGGUCGCUUUAUACAGAGGAUCCCAGAGGGCUUGAUUGCUCAAGAGCCGUAGGAUUUCCCUCCCUGGUACCCAUGCUAAGGUGUUCUUAGAAAUUCUCCUUACAAGAGAUUCCGUACAAGUGUAAGUUACUUUUCUAAGAGGAACCUUAACUAUGAUGCGGAUUCAAUUGGCAUCUCCCUGCUCUAUGGUCUUUACACGACCGAGUCUAAAUGUCCCCCUCCCAGUACCUAUUACCUUCAGUCCCAGGGCUUCGGAUUUUGAACUGCGUCACCUACGUCAAUAUUCUUUGAACCUUGGUACUACGAUCGGAGAUCAGAUCAAAAAGGCUCUUUUCCGGCUUUCUCUUUUCUGUCCUCCUUCCGGCCGGCCUCAAUAUUCUUUGAACCUUCUUUAUCCGUGGAAUCUUCCUUUUCUGCCUUUCCCGCUCCGUGGGCGUAGUUCGUGGUAGAUCCGAGGAGAUCGGAGAUCGGAUCCUAUCGCCUUUCCCUUUUGUCUUCCGAGAGUCGGCUUUGCCUUUUCUGUCUUCCUUCCGGCUUUCCCUUUUCUUUUCCUUCUUCGAAAUAUUCUUUGACCCUGAAAGUAGUUCCCUUCUGAGAGAUCGGAUCGGAGAUCGGAUAGGUACCUCCGUUAAAUCAAGGAAAGUCAAGGCCUUCCGGCCUCGAGUCCUUCCCUUCUUUCUUCCCUAGAUCCGAGGAGAUCGGAGAUCGGAUCGGUAUCCGCUUUCCCUUUUGUCUUCCUUCCGGCCGGCCGGCUUUCCCGCUCCGUGGGCGUAGUUCGUGGUAGAUCCGAGGAGAUCGGAGAUCGGAUCCUAUCUGCUUUCUCUUUUGUCUUCCUUCCGGCUUUGCCUUACCCUGAGUUCGUGGUACCCUUUAUUUCAUUUAGGGUCCGAGAGUCGGCUUUGCCUUCUUCUCGAUUCAUUGACUCGGAUUCAACCUUCAAACUUGCUGGCUGUCUUCCUUCUUUAUCCUGUGGGGAAUCCUCCCCCUUGACUUUAUCCGAAGAAUUCCCCUUUACCUAGGGGCCUUUAGGCCUCCUUCCCUUCUGAGAGAUCGUAGAUCGGAUCGGCUUUGCCUUUUGUCUUCCUUGAGAGUAGGCUUUCCCUUUUUCAUAGAGUUCGUGGUACCCUUUAGUUAGGGGCCCUCCGGCCGAGAGUCUGCUUUCCCUUUUUUUUCUUUUCCUUCUUCGGGGAAUUAAGUAGUUCCCUUCUUUAUCCUCUAGGGAAUCUGAAAUCAAGGAGGUUGCCGAUAGGGACCGAACCUAUUCCUUCCCCUUACCUUAAAUCAAGGAAAGUCAAGGCCUUUAGGCCGAGAGGGACUAGCUCGGUAUCGGCUUUGCCUUCUUCGAGAUCGGAGAUCGGAUAGGCACUUUCAAUCAAGGAAAGUCAAGGCCUUUAGGCCGAGAGUAGGCUUUGCCUGAUUUAUCCCUUUAUCCUGUGGGGAAUCCUCCCCCUGACCUUGAAAGGAAAGUCAAGGCCUUUAGUUUAGGCCGAGAGUGAGAGUAGUUCCCUUCUGAGAGAUCGGAUCGGAGAUCGGAUAGGAUGCCUGUCUUCCUUCCUUCCGAGAGUCGGCUUUGCCUUCCGGCCGGCUUUGCCUUUUUCAGAGAGUUCGUGGUACCCGGUCCGAGAGUCUGCUUUCCCUUCUGAGAGAUCGGAGAUCGGAUCGUAGAUCGGAUGCCUGUCUUCCUUCUUUCUCCUGUGGGGAAUCCUUCCCCCUUAAAUAAGUAAAGUAAAGGCCUUUAGGGACCGAACCUAUUCCUUAGCCUUAAGUCAAGGCCUUUAGGCCGAGACUCCUUCCCUUCUUCCUUCCCUAGAGGAGAUCGGAUAGGGACCUUAAAGAAAUAAAGGAAACUAAAGGCCUUUAGGCCUUGAGUCUGCUUUCCCGCUCCGUGGGCUUAGUUCAUGGUAGAUCCGAGGAGAUCGCAGAUCGGAUCGGCCCUUUUGUCUUCCUGAGAGAGUCGGCUUUGCCUUUUUCAGAGAGUUCGUGGUACCCCUUAAAUCAAGGCCUUUAGGCCGAGAGUCUGCUUUCCCUUUUCUUUUCCUUCUUUAUCCUGUGGGGAAUGCUCCCCCUUAAAUAAAGGAAGUUAAGAUAGGCAUCUCCUUUAAAUCAAUGAAAGUCAAGGCCGAUAGGCCGAGAGUCCUUCCCUUCUUCGAGAUCUACGAUCGUAUAGGUACCUCCUUUAAAUCAAGGAAGUUAAGAUAGGCACUCAAGGAAAGGAAAGUCAAGGGUAAAGGCCUUCCGGCCUCGAGUCCUUCCCUUCUUCCCUAGAUCCGAGGAGAUGAGAUCGCAGAUCGGAUCGGUGUCUUCCUUCCGACCGAAAGUCGUCUUUGCCUUUUGUCUUCCUUCUUUCCGGCUUUGCUUUCUUCGAGAUCGGAGAUCGGAUAGGGACCUCCUUUAUCUUCUGGGGAAUCUUCUCCUUAUCUUUUUCCGGAAAAUUCCCCUUAACUUAACUUAGGGGCCGAUAGGCACCUUAAAGCAAUCAAGGAAAGGUUCUACCUUUACUUUAGAGAGGUACUAGCUCGGUAUCGUCUUUUCCUUCUGUAUCCUGUGUGUGGGGAAGAUUCCCCCUUAUCUUUCAUAGGGGAAUUCCCCUUUACUUAGGGGCCUUCCGGCCGAGACUCCUUCCCUUCUUCGAGAUCGUAGAUCGGUAUCGUCUUUCCCUUCUUUUUCUGUAUCCUUUGGGGAAGAUUCCCCUUAAAUCAAGGAAGUUGCCGAUAGGCACCGCUCCGUGGGGGAUUCCUUCCCCUUUGCCGAGAGUCCUUCCGUCCGAGAGUGGGGAAUCCCUGAGAUCGGAGAUCGGAUCCUAUCGUCUUUGCCUUUUGUCUUCCUUCCGGCCGGCCCUUCCCUUUUUCAGAGAGUUGUGGUACCCGGCCGAUAGGGCCCGGGAAACCUUCCCCUAUUUAGGUUCCGAGAGGGACCGACUUUGCUUUGCCUUUUCUUUUCCUUCUUUAUCUGUGGAAUCUACGAUACCCAAAGGCCUUCCGGCCGAGAGUGGGGAAUCCCUGAGAUCGGAGAUCGGAUCCUAUCUGCUUUCUCUUUUGUCUUCCGAGAGUAGGCUUUCCCUUACCGCUCCGUGGGUUCGUGGUACCCGGGCCGAUAGGCCGAGAGUGAGAGUAGUUCCCUUCCUUAUCUGGGGAAUCCCCCUUUUCCGGCUUUGCCUUACCCGCUCCGUGGGUUCGUGGUACCCGGGCCGAGAGUGGGCUUUGCCUUCAGAGAGAUCGGAUCGUAGAUCGGAUCGGAUGGCUGUCUUCUUUCUCCUCGGAUGGCUGUCUUCUUUCUCCUGUGGGGAAUCUUCCCCCUUAUCUUAUCUUUAUCCGGGAAACCUCUUCCCCUUAGAGUAGUUCCCUUCUUUCUCCUGUGGGGAAUCCUCCCCUUUAAGGAAGUUUCCGAAGAAAUAAAGUCAAGUCAAGCAAGGCCGAUAGGCCGAGAGUGAGAGUAGUUCCCUUCUUCCCUAGAUCCGAGGAGAUCGUAGAUCGGAUCGGUCUCUUCCUUCCUUCCGGCCGGCUUAGGAGAUUUCCUGGAAAAAGGAUGGGAUUUGAUCAAAUGGUCUUGAUUUUGACUUCGGAGACGAUAGGCAGGCAGGGCAGAAAGUAGAAGAUACAUUUUUUCUUGCGCGAGAUCCAGCAAAGAAAGAAAGAGCCGGAACAGAUCGAAGAACGAGAAUCUUCCACCUCUUUCAACCGCUCUCUCCUUGCCCGGAAUGAUACCCGAUACGCAACAUCUCUUUCUAACUUUCCCCUACGAACUUCUUGGAACUCAUACAUAGCUUGACUAAGAGAAUCUAAAGUAAAGGCUUGCCGCUCCUUCGACUGAUUGAAAGCAUCGGAUCUCAGGUUCUCUAUUGCACUCCCUAAAUAGGGUUCGAAGAAGGGAGACUAGAGAGGAGAGGGUCAAAGUUCGGUUAAUUACGGAAAGUCCGACUUCGGUUAAUUACGGAUGGUCCUACUUCGGUUAAUUACGGAUGGUCCUACUUCCAUAUGGAUAGUCCUACUUCGGUUAAUUACGGAUGGUCCUACUUCCAUAUGGAUAGUCCUACGGAUAAGAAUCCUCCGGACCCUGGACCUUUCUUUCUUUAAUGGAUAGUCCUACGGAUAAAUCCUGCGGACUGCGGACUCCGGACUACGGAUAAAUCCUGCGGACUGCGGACCCUGGACCUUUCUUUGAUGGUGCGAAGGCGCAAAGAAUAUUGCGGUUUGGAGGAGAGGCUCAAUGUAAUAUGAGUUGAGGCGCAUGAAAUUCAGAGGUGCAAAGAAUAUUGCGAAAAGAGCGGUCGAAGAACUUAUUCUACAGAAAGAGCAGCCACAUCGUCUGGCCCAAGAGCCUACUUAAAUAAAAGAGGGUGAGGUCCCCAGGUGGUUCAUCGACUGAUUCCUCCCCCGCCCGGGCCUUUCUGACUCUUUCUUAUUCCGAAACUGAGACAGAUGAAAGGUGCCACUUCUUCCCCCUCUAAUUCUGCCUUUGAAUUCCCCAAUGAUCCUUGUUUUGAUUCAUUCAUGUGAGUGGCAGCAAGAAAAAGAGAGGCAAAUAACCGUAAUUAAGAGUCACAAACGAGUUCAGCUACCUUUCCUACCCCUCCAGAUCGAUCCCCCCAAAAACAAAGGGCUAGAUAAUAUUCUUUGCGCCUUCUGACUAUUCAUCCUAUUUCUUUAGGAGGACUCAUAUAAGAAUGUGGCCCCACUCCUAGGUUAGCGAGAAGGAAUCCGAAUCUCUGGAUUAGUGGAUUAAGAGCCAUGUUCGCUCGGUAGCUGCAGUGGUGGUUGAUGUCUCAUCCCUUCUUUCAGGUUUCGCUUCAUCGGCUGAGCCAGCUCUCGUCCUUUAGCUGGACAAACCUUCUUUCUUUCAUUGAAUUCCCCACGAAUACCGUGAAAAGGCAUGAAAACGUAAACCACUGAACUUAGUUCGCUAAGAGAAAGCCGUCAGUCCCAUAACAUGAAACUUAAGGAAAGAAUGCCCAACGGAGUCUUUCAUUUAAGCUAUUUCUUUGGUUCGGUAUUGAAUAACUAAAAGCGAGAGUUCUGGUUGGGGAAGAGUGGACGCGCCCUCAUUUAAGAGAAUUGGACGCCCCGCCCUGGCAAUAAUAGAGUCAGCGAAGCAUCGGGUAAGGGGACUCAGAUGAGACAGCCGCUGUGUCUCUUGAAGUACCACUUCUUUGAAUGCGACUAUGGGUUCAAUUCAUUCACGUGGAAUCGAGUCAAAUAACAGAAAUAGAGACUAAGCGGAGUACAUAAAUACGCCUUGAAUGCGGCCUUACGAUCUGCCCCAAGAUAAGAAGCAACUGAAGAAAGAGGAGGACAAGAAAAGCAACUCCAACUCCCACCGGACCACGAUACUUUUCAUUGACUUCUCUUCCCAACCGCUACGUGGGGUUAAAGAAAGAAUUCCUCUCCAAAGAAAAAUCGAGCCCUCACGCACCCGUCAGAAAUGGGAUAAAAUAGAUGGGAGAUAAAGGUGAUAAGAGCUCUAUGGGGAAAGAAGAAACCUACUCGAGCCGAGAUAGGAUGAGGCGCAACAAGAUUUAGUUCCAUUAAUCAGUCAGAAAGACAUUCUUUCUUUUUGUUAGGCGCAAAGUAAGCCCUUCUAAUUCCGGAGGAUUUAUCCGUAGGACUAUCCAUUAGGAGAGCUGAAAAGAAUAUAGUAGCAAGAAAUCAUGAAAAAUCAGUCAAUAAAGAAUAGACCCGUAUUUCUCCGGACCAGAAACUCAAAGUUUGAACAAACUAUGUGAAUUUCGAAAAUCAAAUAGGACAAUGCCUUGCAAUUUCCCGGCUUUUUUGCUUCUAAAUAGGACUUUUUCGACUUUUCUUAUCUAACGAAAAUAGAUCAAAAAUGACUGAUUUUUCAUGAUUUCUUGCUACUAUUUCUUUUCAGCUCUCCUUAUCAGUCGAGCCCAAAACCUAGCAAAAUCUUGUAUUUCCCUCCGUAAAAACAAGGUUAUGAAAUCCGAAUUAUUCUUGAAUUCGAGUUAAUGAGUGAAUUAUUCUUUUCUUUGAUUGACUUUGAACAGGUCCUUCGGCUAGGCGCAAAGUUCGGUUAAUUACGGAUGGUCCUACUUCGGUUAAUUACGGAUGGUCCUACUUCCAUAUGGAUAGUCCUACGGAUAAGAAUCCUCCGGACUCCGGACUACGGAUAAAUCCUGCGGACUCCGGACGUAGGACUACUUCGGUUAAUUACGGAUGGUCCUACGGAUAAAUCACCUGGACCUUUCUUUGGCCCUGCGGACGUAGGACCCUGGACCUUUCUUUGGCACUCCGGACUGGAUCUUCUAGGAGUUUUCUACCUUUCAAUUCUUGACUAUCAAAAGACCUACGGCAAGGGGUUGAUGAUGACGAAGACUAUGUAAAAGAUUAGUAUGCGAAGCCAAGCGACUGUAUAUAAUCUAAAAAGAAAGGACUCCCUAGGACUUAGGUCUUUAUGAUUUAGAAGACUAUCAUUUAAGAGGAGCGCAAUUCAAUAUUCUUUGAACCUUCGGAAAAGAUGAACCGAAAAUCGAUUAGAUUAUGCUGAAGGAGGGAGCGCAAAGAGGACGACGGACUCCGGACCGGCUGGCCAGCCAAUAAGUUGCUUUCGAAAAGAAUAAGUUGCUUUGUCUUAGAAUAGGUUGAAUGAGAAAUUGAACUAGAAAUCUUUGAUGAACAAAUAGCGUAAGUAAUAGCAGAAAACCUACGGAAUAUACUCGUCCUCCGCGGUAGUGGUUGCGAAGAAUUCAGAUCCUUUCCUUACUUUAGAACGCCAGCGCCCAAGAAGCCUUUAUUUACUAAGGCUGGUCCACGUAUGGUUAGUACAAACCUCUUGAGAAGAAGCUGAUCUCGGAACUUUCCAUGAACUAUGACGGUAGACAAAGCUUUGUAUCUCGAUCUUCUUCUUCUCUUUCAAAAGAAAACCCUCUUCCAGUAUAUAAUAGCUAUUCAUACUCAUCUGGAUCUUUGUUUUUGGGUCCUUUUUAUUUGACUAUUCAUCAUAUUUUCUUGCAGACGAAGUCCUUAAAGAUGAACCGAAAAUCUUCUUUGAGCCUUCCUGAUGGAUAGUCCUUCGGACCUGUCUUAUGGGGCCUCAGUAGCUUAAUUCUGAAAAAUCCAUAUUAGCCUUCUCACAUUCCCUAAUGGAUAGUCCUUCGGACCAGUCAAUUAAUCCGUGGGCUUACUCAGUCGUCUCGCAAUAUUCUUUGCGCCUUUGUUUUUGGACUGAUUUAUACCUCAGGACUUUCUCAAGCUUAACUUCUUCUUCCAAAAUAUAUGAUAUGGAAAGGUGCCAAAGUGCUGGAUUUCUUGCGCUGACAUGUAUCACACUCUGAAACGUACUGCUUAAUCAAGUUAAGAAUUCCUCGCCAAUACAACUCAAAGGAAAUUCCUUUAUAGGUCCGUAAGUACCCGUCCCCCAAGCACCGAGUCAUGAUAAGUAUUAAGGAUAGUCGGAAUUAGGGAAGACUGGGCUGAGAAUAGCAAUCUGUCCUUGUACAGUGCCAUUAAUCACUGAGAAAUGCGGAUGUCUAUCGGUAUUGGCUUCUAGAUCUGACUGACCCUAUCUCUUUGAGGUACUCAUCAGCACUAACCUCACUGCUCACGAUGUCGACAUCAAAAAUGGCGGGAGCUCUUAGGUUGGCCAAUUGCACGUGGGGAGGCAUACGGGAUAGAGCAUCCGCGAAUUCUGAGGCCCCGGUUUGUACUGCACUUCAAAAUCAUAUCCAAGGAGCUUGGACACCCACAUCUGGUACUCCGGCUGUAUGACCUUUUGCUCCACAAUCUAUUUAAGGGACUGCUGGUCCGUUCUCACUAUCAAUCUCCGGCCCAAGAGAUAAGAUCGCCAACGCUGGAUCGCCAUUACACCAUUAGUUCUCUUUCAUAAGCGGACUUAGCUUGAGCGCGGGGUGAGAGAACCUUGCUGAAAAAAGGGUCUCUGUCCUUGGGUUAAUACUGCCCCCACUCCUCUUCGUUCCUGAGGCAUCAGUCUCCAUAAUCAAAGGAUUAGUUCAAUCGGGUAAGGCUAAAAGGCGUAGUCUUACCAUGGCUCCUUUUAACUGCUCGAAGGCUUCUACAGAAUCUGAAGUCCAGAUAAAAGCAUCAGUACCGGUCAUCCUGUGCAGAGGUUGUGCUAUUCUCCCAUAAUCAACUAGAAACCUGCGGUAGUAACUCGUCAAUCCUAAGAAACUUCGUAACUCACGGACUGUGGUAGGUUGGGGCCAUUCUUUUAUCGCCCGCACCUUUUCUGGAUCGGCUUCAACCCCUUCUUUAGAUUAGAUACCCAAUGCCCCAAAUACUCUAGACGGCCUUGAGCAAAACGAGACUGAUGAAAGUUGAGAAUGAGACCAGCGAAGUACAAUGAAAAGACUAAAGUCAAAUCUUGAAUGUGGGAUUCGAAAUCUGGGCUGUAGAUGACAAAGAAUACUAAUCAAAAAAAAGGCCUUAAGAUCAUUCAUCAAAGAUUGAAAGGUUGCUGGUGCUCAGACCAAAGGGCAUCACCAAGAAUUCGUAAUGCCCCUCAUGCGUGCGGAAGGCUGUUUUCGCUAUGUCUGCCUCAUGGACCCUUAUUUGGUGGUAACACCCGAGCGCAGGUCUCAUUUUGUGCAAAUUUUUGCUCAUCCAGAAAUGGAAGAAAGAAAGGGGAUUGGAAAUUGAGGAGAAAUUGUCAACUCAUUUAGCGCUCGAUAGUCAAAAAGGCCAACUCCCAUCCUUUUUCCUGACUAAUAGAACCGGGCUGGCAUAAGGUCCAUGGCUGGGACGGUCCCGCUUGCAGCAUUUCCGCCACUAACCUCUCAAUCUCAUCCUUUUUCUCUCUUGAGUAAGGCUCGAGGGAGUUUACGGACGAGAGGAGCGAAGCGGCUCAUUUCAUUCCUGAGAUCGAUGAUCUCCUUCUUGGGGGUAGCUGAUCAGGUCUUUCGAAGACAUCUAAGAACCUCGCGAUCAACUCCUGUAUCGGACUCUCCUCGUCCUUCUUAGACCUCUCCCCUUGCUCUUCUACCAUCUCUAACUCCGCUGUAAUCGUCCGUAAUUCCAACCUUCACCCUAGGCGCAAAGCUCAAAUACUUUGAUCCUUUGAACCUCCGUUAUUCAUAUGGAUAGUCCUACUUCGGUUAAUUACGGAUGGUCCUACGGAUAAAUCCUCCGGACUCCGGAUAAGAAUCCUGCGGACUCCGGACGUAGGACCUGUCUUUAUCAGGAGCGUAGCGAACAGCCGUCAACUACUUGAUAGUUAUCCUAUCUUUCUCCUACGCGGAAUCCAGAAUAGACCCGUCAGUAUCCGGACCAUAAACUCAAACAAGAAUCAAACUAUGUGAAUUUCUGGGAUAGGAGUUCUUCUUUCAUUGCAAUUUCCCGGCUUUUUUGCUUCUAAAUAGGACUUUUUCUCAUCUUGAUAUUCUACGAUAAUUGUCUAAUUUUGACUGAUUUUUUGUCUUUUCUUGCUACUUCCCUAUGGGCAAAACCUAGCAAAAUCAUGUAUUUCCCUCCGUAAAAACAAGGUGAUUCAAUCCUAAUUAUUCUUUCAUUCGAGUUAAUGAGUGAAUUAUUCUUUUCUUUGAUUGACUUUUCCGCAAGAUUCUUUGCGCCUUUUCCUUUUGGAUGAAUUUGAAUCUCUCGUCUGAAGACUCUCGUCUGAAGACAUGAAAGACGAUUUCUUUCUAUUCUCAUAUUUUUCUGAUUCUAUGAGAAGGUCAAUCGGUAAAGAGGAAUAUCAUAACUAAUGAGUCACUAGCUAGCCCUUUAAUCUCACUAUUUCCUCUGCGAGAAGAGCGGCUUUCUAUCUAACCUCUGACAAUCCCCGAACCCCGCUCCGCUUCUUUGCGCUCCGUGGGCCUCUUUCUUUAGACAUCUGUGGGAGGAUUAAAGGAUGAGAGAUCCACGAUCCUGGUGAUAUGAUAGCAGAAUAUACCUACCAUCUAUUCAAGUUACCACGUCCCUUGAUUCAUUCCUUCAACCCGGGGCCCCUCGUAAACUCACUUUUUCUAUUCAAAGCGGUGGGCCUGCGAUCCUAAGCGGAAAUCUUCGUCAAUAUUCUUUGAGCCUCUUGUUGACUUUCCGAUGUGAGCAUGAGAAUGGGGAAUGAAUGAAAUGAGAUUGAUGAGUGAAUUAAGAAGGAGAAGACCAAAGGCGAGAGCCACGGCCUGGUCUGAAACCGGCCGGAAGAAGGAGAAGAAAAAGCAUGUACAGCAGCGCGGACUCUCUUCAAUCAACUCGUAUUAUUCCAUUCCCGAAGGCUUUCUUCCUCCCUCUCGAUCCUAUACCCCAUUCCUAAUAGAACCCCGAUAUGAAACUACGAGGACACACCCGACUGGGCCAUAUGGCCAAUUAUUUUCAGAAGAAAGCAAAGCCAAAGAGACCUGCUUUUAAUGCUCGACGUCGACACGGAGGGCGUACUUGAGUACUGGACGAACAAACUAUAUAACUACCCCUUUUUAGUGCGCGAAGCCGAAGCCUCCGAAACUGAGAUAGAGGGCGAGAUUUUCCUAGGAUUUCCUCAUGAGCAUGACCCUUACUUGCAAGAAUCCACGAUAGACUAAUCAUUUUUGGAAUAUUUCCUCUUGCAGUUGAUUUGAUUUUCCGGUUCAAAAAUCAUGUAUAUUAUCAAUCCGACAUCUUGAUCGAUUUAAUCCCACAUCUGGAUCUCUUAAUCGAUCUGUCUUAAUCGAUUUCAUCCUAUACUUCUUGUUAGGUACCCCAUAUUAGCGGUAGCUGUAACCUCUUUCCUAAUCGAUUUGUUCUCUCUCUUAAUCGAUCUAGCUGUCUCUUUCCUAAUCGAUCUGUCCUAAUCGAUCUGUCUUAUCUUUCCUACUCCCUUGUUAAUCGAGAAAGCUAUGUAUGCUUUAUCUCCUUUCUUAAUCGAUUGUAUUUAUCUUAAUGGAUCUCUUUCUCCCUAAUCGAUCUGUCUUCUCAUAUUACCGCAAUAUUCUUUGCGCCUUUCUUUCUUUAAAAAGAGAAUUAUCUUACUUAAUGGAAUUCUCUGAAUCGCUUGUACUGGGGACGCUCAGAGGAGAGGAAAGGAAGAAAGAAGCUAGCUAUCGGAAACGAAAGAAUUCUUAGGACUGAUUUAUGAACAGACAGAAUUCUAUUGAUUUAGCGCCACGCUGGCCUCUUUAUGUGACUCAUUCCGAUACGGGAAGGAUCGCCUAUAGGCUCUCUCUCAUAUCUACCCGAGACAGUUGUUCCACUCCGGCUACCCUCAAGAGCGGCUUAGCACCGCAGAGUGGGAAGGGGAGCGGCUUAUCGCACCUUGUUUUCUCUUUCUUUAGCAGCUUUCGUCAUAGGCUUUCUUCUAAAUAGUAGUUUGAAGCCUAUCCUUUCUUCUUUUCGUACUUCAUCGAUCUUUCUUCUUAUGGCUUUCAUAAGUAGUAGUUUCAUAAAGAGCGAUGGGCGAAUACCUGAGACAGGAUAGACGAGAGAUACCCUUUGAACCUCAGAUGGCCCUUUCUUCCGAUUUUGCUUGAAAAGAUGUGAAUGAAUGUCAACCUUUGAAUGUGAUUCGAAUGAAAGCAAGGCUUUGGGCAAUUCAAAGACUUUCAGAUAAAUAGGCCUCGCUAGCUAGAGGUUCAAGGGCUUUCUACUAAACUCAGGCAAGAGCAACUUCAGCAAGAACUUCUGAAAGGCAUCAAAAUUCCAUUCUCCUUUCAGUUGAUCCUAUUCCAAAGACGCUUCGGGUCGAGAUUCGUCAACUCGGCUGGUGGUCUGUGACGCUUUCUUUCUUCCUCAACUGAGGAAUGCUACACAGAAUUCCUAUCUUCAGGGGACUCUAUCUUUGUUCUUGUCCCACGCGGACCUCGCUUCGUACUGGGAAUCUUGUCUCAUAUACUUUGAAUAAUAAAGAAGACGAGGGCUAGCAACUUCCCUUGAAGCAGCAACUUCCACUGCGCCUCCUUCCUCUUCCGAAACCUCUCACAGCUUUCGCUUCGCUAGGCUUGAUUUUGAGUGGAAUUGGAAUUCAAAUCAGUGGAAAGCGACAGCUUUUAUGUCCUUAGAUUCAACUACGGAGGAUGAGUAGGAGCAGUCUGAUCUUCUUCUUCCCGCUCCCUCCUCAGGCGCAAAGAAUCUUGCCUUUUCCGUCAUAUUAGCUUUCCAUUUGAAUUCCACUCAAAGUUGCAGGCGAAGGCGCAAUGAAAUAUGCGUGGAACUCAAUCUUGCUUGUUAUGGGACUGAUUUAUGGAACUGAAGCUGGUCGAGCCUAAUCCUCUUGGGCGAGACUCCUAUUGAUUGAGAUCCGUGCCUGCCUUUCGAUCCUUCCCCCUACUCUUAUGGCUUUCCGUUAGCGCUUGAGGUCCUUAGUGAGGUCUAAGCAAGAGAAGAAAGAAUGAACUAUAUCAUCCCCUGGAAAAGGUGCUCAGCCACUCUACGUUGAGGAAGAAAGGAGAGGAUCAAAGAAUUUGAGACUGAAAGGAGAGGAGUUAGGUGAGACCAUAGGGAAGAGGACAAAUCGGUGAGGCCAAAGGCCCACGUAGCGGUUGUGUCCGCUUGAACCAGUAGCUUUUUGUAGAAGAAGUUGCUUCUUUUUCUGCUAUCUGCCCAUGUGUAAUGAGAUACCCUUUUUCAAGGUGAAAGCGACCGGAUAAAUCGCAUGAUUCAGUACUCAAAUAGAGAGAAGGCAGAUUGUCCCCACUUCCAUCCACCAUUCGUCCAACUAGUCCUAGGCGGGUGGUUAGGAAGCAGAACACUGUUUAGGAAGCAAGUCUUGUAGGGGUAGAGACCCAUGCGAGAUCCACACCCGUGAAGGAAAGAAGGGCGAAUCAGGUUCCAUCCACAGCUCGAGAAAAGGAAGAGACCACCCACCGGGCAGUCCGAGGUUGAAGUUAGUCUUCUGGCUGGAAAUAAAGAAGGGGCUUGACCGAGUGAAAGAGGGCAUAAGUCUCACUGAGUCAAACCCGCAUGAAAAGAGUUCAAAAAAAUCUGGUCGAUUCCCUAUUCCGGACUCAUCUUCCUCCUUUAUUUACUACCUCUCUCUUCCUUCGGAACCUGCUCGACCCCCACGGAUAAGAUAAUUACUGAAAAAGAAAUAAGUAGCAUUCUUCUUUCGACUCCUUUUCAUCCUUGUUCAUAGGAUUUCGAAAUCAUAAAUACGAAAGAAUGAAUCGGAUAUUGGCGGUGCGUGCGCAUUUUGAUAUAGCUUCCGUGUUCUCAGCCUAAGGCGAGGCUCGACUGAAAGGAGAGUGAGAGCUUCUCGAAACUAAGCUACUGCAGCAAGAACGUCUGCCUACCUGCCUGCUGGUCUCGCCUUUGAAAAAGAGUUCUCUCAUAGUGAGAGUGAAAAGAAGAGUAGGAGUUAGAGACAAAUAAGGAUGCCUUGGUCCGUCUUCUUGCGCGUCCAGCGCAGCCUUCUCGUUCAGCAUUCUUCCUAAUCUCCUCUAAAUAGGGAAUCGAAUUUCAUCUAAAAGAUUAUGACAUGCCAAACCCCAAACUCAGAGUAUAAUGGAAGAAAUCUAUUCCAUGAUCAGACGGAGUGGCCCUAAACGGGGUUCAAGGCCCUUGAUUGGGAUUCACCUGCUCUGCUGCCAACCACACCUGGAAAUGGUGUGAUAGGUUCAAAGAAUAUUGACGCCCACGAGGCGUAAUAAGGGCCUCAAUGAACAAGAGGUUGACCACACAUGAAGGUCAGAAAAUGUUUCACCAUCUACUACGGUUGAAGAGAAAAGAGAUUGAAACCUAGUGUGAGGUCGACGAUCGAUUUGGCCAUGACGGGACCCGCGGCCAUCAUACUUUGAAUAAUUUGAAUAGGCCACCGAUUGCUUGCACUCUUGAAAGGCAGUCCUUUAAUGGGGAAUCAGUCUGGUGAUAGGGCCCAUUUGCUUAAAGGUUCCAUCCAUUGGGAUAGACCGCAGAAGGUCCAUUGCCCAAGGGUGGACCGGGAACAAGAGUCGUUGUCUAAGAUAGUUACCUAUGGCAAAGAUAGGACGUUUUCCCGCGCCUUCGAAGGUUUGGGCAAGUCUACCUCGUUCAGGUAUAUUAGUUGGAUUAUUACCGAGGGGGUCUCUGAUCAUCCCUAAGGAAAGACUCUCAACUAGGACCUAAACCCAAGUGGUAAUGGAGGGUAGCUCGAGACACAUAUUGAUCCACAAGGGAUCGGUCAAAGGCAAAUAGCCGAUAACCCGGCCAAAAGACCCGGUGUCUCAAUACUACCCAACUUUCCACGAGACCUGUAGAAAGGAUAUAGGAAUGCCCCGACACAGAAUAUUUGACGUUGCUGGUAGGACUUUGAGGCUUUCCAGUUUUCCUCCUAUCCACAGGCCGGAGGCUGUUGGGAAUUACCUUGAACGUAGGAACCCAUGAUAGGCCUAACUCCAAAGGGAGAGACCUAAGAAAGGGGAGGUAUUUCUCAGAUAGUGAUUUAACUGAAGAUGAAAUCAAAAUUGAGCAGGGAGUCAUAUUCCAAAUCGCUUUUCAAGAAAGCAACUUCUAUUUUGAUCUUUGUCUUUUUAUGAGUUCGCCUUUAGUAUGAUUCCGCUCUUCGAGAACUCUGAUGAUUCUACCUCCUUCUCUAGAAAGUUCAGUCAGGAAAGCCUACCAUUAACAAGUCCUUCGCCUACAUGGAUAUAAAGAAGUCCGACGGGUCAGAAUGACCUCAAUAUUCUUUCUCAUAUUUCAUUGACCCGUCCGAAGGACUCAGAAUUCCAUAGUCCAGGUGAUCAUAUAUUGGGACACUAGGCGGUGGGCUUUCUUCUUCUUCUUCUCCUUUAUCACGGGAUAGCUCUGACUUUGAAGCGAAGGAUUAAUGGAAAAAGGUUUGAAUAAAGACUCUCAUGUGUUAAGCAAAUGAUCUGAGAUCCUUUUUUUGCCUUUCAAACUUGUCUAUUUUAUACAUCUAUGAGUAAAAAAUAUAUCUAGUUUCGAACAAGGGUGGAUUUCCAGACAUCAUGAUGUAUCAUUCAUUUUUCAUGAAUCCGUAGAAUGGAUAGUCAUCCAAAUGAAUGAUGUGCCAAGUGGUGACACGAGGGAGGAUUUUCAGUCCUCUGCUCUACCAACUGAGCUAUCCCGGCCAUUUCCGACACAUUAUCCUUCUUUUAAUAGAUGACUUUGGUCUAUUAAGAAGAAAAUCAAAGGGACCAGAUGAGAGACGGGUUAAUAUGGAUAGUCCUUCGGACUGCCCUUUUUUUUUUGAUUUUGGAGGGGGAGCGGAGGCGCAAUGAAAUAUGCGUGAAUGAAUGAAUGCGCUUUCUUGAUUCUUACUUCAGAUUCCUUUAAGUAGGUUUAGAAGGCUCCUUUUGAUAGGCUUUCUCUCUCUACUCUAGUAAAGCUUUUUUUGUUGAGUAGGUUAUUGGUGGCGGAGAAGGACGUAGAAGGCAUCAAAAUGCAAUUCCUCUGACUUGAAACCGCGGAGUGGGAAGGCUUAGAGAAGAUCAGAAGAGAAAAUAGAAGAGAAGAGCUUGAAUUGAAAGAGAAGAUCAGACUCGAGUGAGGAAGAUAGAGAUCAAGAGCGGGAGAGAAAGAAGAAGAACAAGAACCUACUACUACUAAAAUCAAAGAAGACUAUAUAUAAAGGAGAGGCAAGGAAGAAUUGCCUAUCCUUCUACGUCCUCCUAAAGAAAGCCUAAGUCAGAAAGCCUAUCAACUAGAAAUCAAUGAACAAGGCUCAAAGAAUGAUCGGCGUCCUUUUGACCUCCGGAACCUAUUAGUGGAAUCUUUGACUUAGUGGAAAUUAUAAGGGGUCCAGAUGACUUGUUAAUGGAACUGAUUGUAGUAGGCGUCGGACCUUCAAAGUCAUUCAUACUAUAUUCACUUUCUGGGCUUGAGGCUAAAGAAUAUGAGUUCUCGCCCAAGACGGCGACUUUCACUUCGCUCAUAUUACAUUGAGCCUCUCACGCAAGUCAAAUUCUCUAAUGGAUAGGCCUCUACCCUCUUCGGAAAGAGAGCUGACCGGCGGGGCGGGGGUAGUUCGACUAACCGGGGUUUCAGGAGUUCCUCUGGGUCUCGACUGAGAACCUUUCCUGUCCAUGAAUGGGGAUUAUCUCGUUCAUUGCUCUCGUGCAUUCUUCUUGAGAUAAUCUAAGAUAUUACGGGGAAUCCUCUAGAAGAAACUGAAGGAAGGAAAGCUGCGGUGCGGGUAUAUUGAAUAACCGACAAAGAAAGAAAGCCACGUAGCGGUAUCUCGGGCCUAGAGGUUUGAGUACUCCAGAAGCAGGGGCUCGGUCUAAUUCAAAGAUCUGCUUCAUCCUAGGCUUUCUCUUUGGAAACUGAGAAUUAUGCCUCUGAGAUCCUAGUGCGGGUCGAGCGGCUUGAAUCUUGGACUCCUUUUAGUCGAGCUUCAACUCAUCUGGAGCUUGAUUUUUCUGUUGCAAAAGAAAGCGGAAAUCUUCAAGCAAUAUUCUUUCGCAAAUUCUUUGCGCCUCUUUGUCGAGUUAGAAAGGUUCGGGAUUUGAAUAAAUGAGAUGAGAGAGUGUUCUUGAAUAUAAGCUUUGCCACAACGAGAGCUACUGAAGAAAGAGCUGCUCCUCCUACUCUCGAACCAGGAGUCGCGCAUAUGGAUUAUCUGAUAUUAGAUCGUAUCGUAGAUUCAGAUUAUCUGACAAGGCAAGGAUUGCGCAUACGUUGCCUACCCGAGAGCCCUUGCCAGACUUCCAACCGCUAUAUCUUCGUCCCACGGCUUGCCAGACUCACAUCUUGAACGAAAACAUUCCAUUUGACAUGAGGGACUCCUAACAACACAACUAAGCUAUAGGGAAAGAACUACGCUACGGGAGAGGAUCAGUCUCGAGCAUAGCGAGAGGGAACCCUCACAUCUUGAUGUCAGACCAGAGGUGAGACUUGCCAUAAGUCAUCUAUUGCCUGACGAUGGCAAGCCAGAGCUGCUACGGCUAUAGAGCGUAUAGGAAGUCUAAUUUGAUCUAUGGCUCUUAUGGUUCUGAAAAGCUUUUUUCGAAUGACUGAGACCUUGAAAGAGCUGAGCGUAGAGAUGCGUCUGUCUGAUUAGUGAGUCCUUAUGGCAAUGUAGCUAUGCCAGAGUGUGGGAUUCUGAGCGUUAAGGGAAGCCUCUUGCUCGUCUGAGUGGGAGGGCUGAUGCCGGAUCGUCUGAUCGGAGUUCCUCUGUCCUGAGCCUUGGAUCUAGGGAUGCCCGAGCUCCUCCUGGGACAGAGCGUUCAUGUGCUUGCUUCACACUCUUGGCUACGACAGACAGAGUUGACUAUAGCUGUGCAUGCCAAUGGACUAGCCGAUAGGUAAGGAUAGCGCAUACGUUGCCUACGCAAUACUAUGUAUAGUCGAGUAAGCUAGCGUUCUAUCAAGUCUAGUACGAGGAGGAUCUUGCUUGGUAUACGAUACUUGCUAGACUAUGCAUUGCCAGACUCCGGCAAGACCGAAGAGUGCCACUACGAUAAGUAGAAUUAUGUAAAUACCGAAAAAAACUUGUUGUGGGAGCAGCCAAAAAAGAAGAGACAUUCAUUCAUUGAACGAAAGAAAUUUCGUAAAGUAAUUGAAUUUGAAUUAGGUCGUACCUUGACUCUCUCUGACUAGUGCAUUACAACAAGAAGAAAGCUGCAGGUAUUAAUCUUAGGCAAGAUUGAGGCUAAGACGGGGUUAUUCGCAAGGCCAGGGGCAGUAUCAAAAGAUAUAGAUCCCAGUCUAGAAAGAGAGAUAACUAAUUUGCCAACCAGUGGAAGAGCCUUGAACCCGCCCACUCCUAGGUAGGGUAGUUGGAACAUUUAUUGGCAUUAGUCAACCGGGAAUUUGUCCUCCUCGUAUUUCUCUAUCGACCAAAGAAAGAGAAGGUGCCCAAUCUAAUGCCCUAGUCUAUGUAGUAGCUGCCACCUUUGAGAUUGGUAAACUAGAAGAAAUACCAUCCAAUCCAGGAUUCAGUGCCAUCUGGGAUCCCACGUAGCGGUUGAGUACGACCCACUUUGUGAGUCUUGCAGACGAACGAACUCUUCAACGGGGUUGACUUUGAAGAAGAAAUCGAAAUACAAGGUUUAGCGGGUUGUUCAUCCUUUCCGUGCCCGUGCCCGUGCCCUCCCUAUAAAGCUAGCUUGGGAGGGGCGGAGCUGGCAGAGCCACCAGCGGCGAAGGGAUGGAGGUGGGUAAGAUCAAGAAAUUCCUUUGUUCAUACGUGCCGUAGGUAAAUUCAAUCCAAUCCAGGUUCGUAUGAUGAGGAAAGGGAGGUAAAGAAGCUGGCUAAGAAGAUUGGCUAAUUGGCCAAUCCGUUCCCAGUGACCCAUCUAAUUGAUUCGAUCCAGUGCAGAAAGAAGCGAGUGAGCGGCAACCAAUAUCGGACCUGGCGAAUAUCUGUCUCUCAAUCCCGGGAUGAAUGAAAGGAGGUGCAAUAUUGACCUAACCUCUCCUUCCUUUCUUCACUCUUUCUUUCUUAAUCGAUUUGUUCUCUCUCUUAAUGGAAUUAUCUGAAUCGAUUUAAUCUCCCUAAUCUUUCUUUCUUAAUGGAAUUAUCUGAAUCUCUUGUAUUUCUCGAUUUGAUAGCUUAAAAAGACAUCUUGAUCUAUUUUCUUGUUUAUAUAUGAUAAUCGAUAUCUUUGAUCGAUUGUAUUAAUCUCUUUCCUUUAUCGAUCUUUCUUUCUUGAUCGAUCUGAUAGCUCUUACUCUUAAGCGUAGCGACUCAGACCGCUAGCCUGAAUCAGCUUUCCUUUCAACUUCAUCAGCUUUCCCGGAUCUUUCUUCAUCUGCUUUUCCUACGCGUAGCGACUCUAUCUUUAUUGAGAGAUAUACCCGGGACAGCCUGAAACUCUUUCAGCGUAGCGGUAGCCGAGCGGUGGCUUCUCCCUUGCGGAUUUGGACAGGCUGAACAGGACAGGCCCGGCUCUCGGUCGGUGGGCUUCACCCGCUCCGUGGGUUUUCUGUUUUUCAGCUACGCGUAGCCUUCGAAUAUGAAUCUAAGGGCUCCGUAGGAGUUGAAAGGAGGGCAUUAAUGUGCAAAUGGUGUUUAUGAGUCCUCCGGACGACUCAAAACGAAUCAAUGAACAAGUCAUUGAAUAAAGUCAACUCAGAAUGGAACGAGUUCAAGAGGUCUUCAGACUCCGCUCCAAAAACAAAGGUCCUCAAUUCAAAGUUCAAACUCAAAAAAGCAGCGAAGGACUCAUUCAUUCCACAGGUUCAUAUGGAAUUUCAUGACUCCCAAUGACUCCUACGGAGCCUGAUUUUCCACUCAUUCAAUGCCUGAGGACGGACGGAAGUAGCUCGACCAUAGGAAGAGGGCCGUAGGACCACUCAAACUUAUGCUCCGCUCAUCUCUAGCCUUGUUUUGAUAUACCUUGAAUUCUUCUUCUCUUUAUUCAAUGAUCAUUCAAAGGCGAACUUUCAGUCUUGUCAACGCAUAUUUCAUUGCGCCUUCGUCCGGACGGAGCAAAGAGCGAAAAACUGAUAAUAUCUAUAUAUAAGUCAAGUAGCUUCUUAUCUUAUUAGAAUCAAAUUUCUGAGACCACUUAUUUAAUCAACUUCUUUCUUUCUUCUUAUUCAUGGGAUCAAACCCGGGAUUUUGCGCAUUCAAUGUACUAGUUCUUCUCUCCUAUCUCAUAUUGACAAGAAAUAGAUAGGAAGGAAGGAGGGCUCUCCUAUAAUCAGAGAAGAAUCAAGGUCAUCCUUGCACUCACUCCUUCCCAGUCGCUUCGCGCCUUCGUCUGCUAUAAGAAAGCCUUCUCUAAUCAGAACCGAAUCUCCUUCUCGGCUAAAAGUUAGCAGGAUUGAAACCACCGUCGGAGUAGAGUGCUCCCGGCCUAGGGCCAGCUAGGUGGGGAAUUGCAUUCAAACCCCCAUUUUUUUCACAUGAUUUGGAGUCAAACCCCUCGAGCAUCAUUCCCUUAACUCACAUUCAUUCACAUCAAGAAGCCGACUACGCGGUUCAGAGGUCGUCCUUUGCCGAAGCAUCUUGAUUCCUAUGAGAUUCAGAGUAAGCGCGGGUAGGACGAAGUCCGAAGCUAGCUUCGGAGCAUUAUUAUCCGUUGAGGAAGAAAGGGUGCGGGGCGAAGCAGCUAUCCCAAUACUGAAAGAGGGUCGAUCUAAUUCACCGAGACGGAGAGGGUAGAGAUCUGAAGUACUAUUAUCGGCAGUUCGUAUGAGAUCUUUCUUUCAUAGGUGGAGUUCUCAUCUCGGAUGAGGAAUGAAAAGAGAUUAUUCUAUUUCAAUAGAGUAGCCCACCCUUCCCAAGAGGUGAAAAAGACUAAAAGGAAGAAAGCCCCGAGGUUCGGAGCUGUCAAGCAAUUAUUCUUUUUGAAUAUCUACUCUGAUGAUCAAUACUGCUUUCCCAAGGCAAAUCUAAGAAGUUCAGUCAGAAAAGAGAAGAGUCCUUCCCCGCAAACCCCGUACUCAAAAAAGGCAUUUCAUACUCGACCAGGACUAAAGGGAAUGCUAAACCUUGCAAAUUCUAGAUGGACUCGUGAUAGAAUGCCAAUUGAAGUAAUGAGAGGCAGACGACCAAUAAGGAUUCGGCAAUUAGCUUAUCCCAUAGGAUCGACCUCUCCAGUACCAGUAUCGGAUCCACGGGCCAUUGAAUAAGAGGCAGGGGUAUUCUCUCUUUCAUCAGAGUCCCGGUCGGAACCCCAUCGACCGGGGAAGAGGAUAUAUAUAGGCGAGACGGAGAGGAGACUCGACCAAAGGUUCUUAAGUUCAAUAUUUAAGGAGAGAGAAGAGGAUAUAUAUAGGCGAGACGGAAGAGGAUCCCGAAAGAAAGAGACCUCCACCCUUGAGCAUAACUGAUUAUUUUGGAUUAGUUAUCUUAUAGGUUCAAAGAAUCAAUUGCAGUUUCAGAGGCGGGAAAGGGCCCUUGUUCAUUGAUUCCUCUUUCAUGAUUUCGUAUUCCGUCUUCCAUUGAAUCAUAUCUGAUAUCCGGAAUAUCCUAGAUUCACAAAUCAAAAUUUCUUCUUCUUUCUUCUGUCUUUCUCGAGAAACCUCCGCCCAAAGUGCGAGGUUUAGCCGUCAGUGGACCUAAAUAAAGGUGGACGCUCAGCCGGGGGUAAGAACUAGUUGAGGAAUGAAUAUCUAUAUAGUCUCUCGUUAUAGGAGUCAAUCUGUCUCGGAAUUGCUCAUUCUCAAUGAAUUUUUCUUUCGCAUGAAAAGGAAAUAAUAGAACCGAUAGGGAAUGAAUAAGAGUUAGCAUCAAGGAUCUUUCACUGAGAGUUCGUAUGAUCAGAAGAUCAGACAGGCUAGGCGUAAUUGAGUCGAGUUAGUUUAUUCUCUCGGAUUAUUUGCGGGAGAGAGAGAAGGACUUGGGGAGAGACCGAGUUUGAGUCUUCCCCAUGUUCUCAGUUAAUGAGAGAGUGGUCCAUGCAUUUCAUUCUAAGUUGAGACUGGACUGAAGGUAAAUCAGUACAAUAAGGGAAAGUGCAAUCUGCCUCGGUUUCGGAAGAGGAAGCUCGCCGCCCCUUGAUCAGAAGUUGCUCUGGCCCUGGCCUCUUUAUUUCAGUUCUUGAAUUAAUUCAAGGGAUUCUCCGAUCGGGCUAACCCGCAUUUCAAGACCAAAAGGUUUACAUAACGGAAGGGUAGAUUUUCACUCUCUGUCCUUGAGCCACGGAGUAUAGCAAAUCCACUCCGAUCUUAUGGGCUCACCUUGCCCGCCAUCUCUCUCCUUCAUCUGAAUGGGAUCGUAAAAUAAAGGAUCCGCAUUUCUUUGAAGAUCUCCCAUUAUUUCACUCUGAUUUCCUACAAAAAGGUCUGAAUCUGGGAAAUGGGGAAGUAGUCCUCAAUAAGAAGAUUCAAUCUAUUAGUUGAAUGAUUCUCUGAUCUUUUUCCGCUCGACCUAGUCCUCAUCGGAAUUCUAAGUCGACAGGCACAGGACAUCAAUCGUGACGAACUUAGUAGGGUGAGUCCCGUCUCAGACGAAGGAAGGGCAGUUGAAGGAGAAGUCGGCCCUGUCCCGUGUUCGAGGGAAAGAAUAUUAGCACACACCUCCCCCCUAAUAAUCCUACACAAAAUCAAAGACCGCAGAGUCUUUAGAAGUAGACCGAGUUCGCCUUUAUUGGUCGAAAGAAGAGUAAGAAUUCUCAGUUUAGCUUAUAUUUAUGAAGCGGAUUCUCCGUAUUUUUACCCAUCCCCGUCCUGCCCUCGCAGUAGUCCUUUCUCUUGUUCUUGAUUUGCAUAAAAGACAAGACCAUUUCCCGAACCUCAAUUUCUUUCUUGGCACUAUGCCAACCUAAAAAAGGUUAGAUAUAGGCAGGCGAGACCGUAAAUCUCUCGUACUCCAACUCAGUAUCCUUCCCCGGUCCGGGAAAGCUGCUUGCGAGCCUGCUAUUCGUCGAAUGAAAUACCUCCCCCCCCGAUCUUUUCUAUAUAUUCUUUGCACUCCUGUCCGAAGGACUCGCUCCCCUGCAGAUAAAUGCGCUUGUCUAAUCGACCCUCUUUCUCUUCCCUUUCAUACUUCUUUCUUCUUUCUCUGUCUCAGUCUGUCUUCUACACAGCCUCUGACCUCUACGUCCCCGGUGCGUAGGGCCGAUCCCUGCGAAAGAAAGGAUUUUGGAAGAGGUAGAUUCAUUCAUGAAAGGCAUAUUGAAUUGCGCCUUCGUUCAAUUCCCACGCCAAAAAGAAAGGUCCAGAUGACUAUGAAGGAGGUUCAAAGAAGAUUUCAUUGACUAUUCAUCCUAUUACUUUAAGAGAGAAUGAAAGAUAGUUCAAAUUGUAAUACGAUCGAUAUUACGAUAUCUUGAAUGAAGAAAGAGACUGUAACAAGGUCAGCCUCUGCUUCAAGGGUUCUGAUCCGGGCAAAAGGCAGGAGGAGCCAGGAGUUGUUUAGGAAGGAAUCCGAGACUGGGAAGGCGCAAAGAAUAUUAUAUUGUUGGAAUCAAUUGAUUAAGAAUCUUCUCAAUCCCCUAAUGGAUAGUCAGUCCGAAGGACGGGGGAUUUGAGAGGCGCAAUGAAAUAUGCGGGGAACGUGAAUUCCACCGAAUAUCUUCUUCCUUUCCUCGGAGGCCUUAUAGAUCGUGCUGGUGGGAGUUUGUCCCUAAUCCGGAUAAGGCGCUUUCUUGCUUAUUAAUUAGUCUUUCUUGCUUAUUCAUUCUUUCCACUUCUACUUCAACUGAAUUUCUUUGAAUAAAAGCUAGUUUCCACAGAAAGGGCUACUACUUACUGAUUUUUCUGAAAGAAGAAAAAGAAACUUUCUCCACCUCGGCCGCAACAGAGAUCCCGCAACGGACCACCCUGAUCCCGUAGCUCUAUAUCCUUAGUGGUUAGUGGAGAACAAGUCAAAUCACAUUACUGAAGAGAAGAUUAGUAAAUCAAUGUAACCUACUUAAAGGAAAAGGAAUUUCAUGAUUAUGCCUCCGUCUGACCCCCUCCUGAUUUUAUGGAAUCGGUCUUUUAUCUUAGAUAAACUUAUACAACUCCGUAUAAUUUGCCUUCGCACCUCUCCAACUCAGGAAUCCCUUUCUUCAAGAAAAGAUCGCGCAUCGACUAAGACGAGUAGAUAAAGAAUGGGAUAAAUAAAGAAGUUGUCACGCGCCUUGGUCAAGAGAGAUUGAUCAUUCCCGAUCGCAACUGAAACGGGGACGGAAGGAUUCGAACCUCCUUUGAUAGCGCCCUCACCACCGGGCCACGCCCCAUGACUAAUAUUGAGAAGGCAGGCAUAUUUCUCUUCAUCCUGGUUUGAACAAGUGAGAUUCAAACUUGAGACAAAAGGAAUUCAUCUGCUGACAUCAAUGAACAAGGCUCAAAGAAGAAAGAAGAGAAUGGCGAUCAGUAUUUGAGAAGAAAGAAUAUCCUUAGCUGCCGUGAGUUGCGUGAGAAAGAAAUAAAUAGGAUGAAUAGUCAGAAGGCGCCAUAAGACAGGUCCGAAGGUUCCAUAAGAGGGAUAUUGAGAAUUUGGUCCUUCAUUCAUCAAAUUUCAUUGAUCCUUCGCUCAAUUCACAUCCAUAAAUAAAGGGCUCUAAAAUCAAGGCGGCAAAGAAAAGGUGAAUAUGGGUAAUCGACAAAGGCGCCGGAAAGAUUCCAG